GUGGUGGUGGUAGGAUUUGAGGUUGAAGACGGCGGAGGACGGUGAUGGAUGUGGCCGCUGGUGGUGGUGAACAUGAAUGGGUGGUUGGAUAAGUGACAAAGGUUGAAAGAAAACUGAAUGCUGAAUGAGAGUCACAAUUUUUUUGAGAGAGUAAAUUUUUUUUUUUGGUUGAGCUGGCUUUUUUUAUAUUUUAUUGUGACAAGUGGGAGGGUGUAAGAGAGGGGUACACCACGUAAGGGUGUUUACCUAUCAGCUCUCUAAAAAAACUAUUAGAGUGUAAACUCACCGUGAAACAUCUUCAACAUCCCAAUAAUAUUAUUAAAAUAAAAUUGAAAAAGAGAGUACAAUUUAGGGAAACUAGACCAAAAUUAUAUAAAAAAAAUAAAAAUAACAGUGGGAUAUAUAGUUACCUCGUUAAAAACCUUAUCUAAAAAUCUCAAUGAGAUAAAAUCAAAUGAAGGAAAAAAGAGUGUAACAACAAACAAAUAGUAACAAAUAAAAUCAUUAUCAAGAAAGAUAAUAAAGGUGACCUAAUCUAUUUCUAACCAAACGGUCCUCACUCCCGAAUACAAGAACCGGUUAUUUUUAUGCAAUAUUACAAGACCAAUGACCCUAUUAACUGAGUCAAUUAUUAAUGAACAUCACAUAAAUUUUAGCUAAUGUGAUAAGUUGUGUGCAUCAAACAAGCACAAUUUUUGGAACCAACAUCAUUUGCAAUGCAUAGAGGCUUAAAUUGUUCAUCUUUUGACCAAAUGGAUCGUUUUUCAAUAAAUUCAUGAACAAAGGUGUCCAACAUUUCAACAGAAACAUGUUGUAACACUACCACAUGUGCAAUAUUCCCACUGCAUGCCAAAUUCCAGCUACGAUUGAAGUCAUCAUCGAGGGGCCUCUCAAAUACAACUAUGUUGCUGAACUCGUUUAACAUAGCACCAAUUCCAGCAUCACGUAGUAGAUUUAGUAAAUAAUGUGCUUUCAUUAUACAUUCAUGCACCUCAUUUUCAAGUCCUAUUAAACCCCUUUUUUUGAGAGCAUACCAAAGGAAGAUGGGAGCAUGCCCACAACGGCUACCUGUGAUUGUGGCAUCCCUUGAAGCAAUGAUGCCAACAUCUCUAGAUAUCGCACUCAUGUAUUUCAAACGAGUUAUCACAACACCGCAAGGAGAUGGGCAUCCCAAAAACUUGUGACCUGAAAUAGUUACACUGCCAAUAGGUUUCUUGAAGCUAACCUUUAGAGCCUGUAACAUCAUCACCAAAACAAUAUUUUAGAUGAAAUCAAGUAAUCAUUCAUUUACGGUAUAUUCUUAAAUUAAACACGAAGCCUUGCUUGAGUUAAGAAUUCUACAUAAUCAUAGUUUUCAAUUAAAUUUGAAUAAGUUUCAUUCAAUUAGUUGUGUUAAUACUUUUUCCUAUAUGAAAAUGUUUUUCGUGAGUAAUGUAAAGGAGGACAUUUUUCACCUUAAAAAUCGAUUUUGUAAGGUUGAAUUAAACUGAACCUAAUGUUCUAAAAACAACAAAUAUUUUGUUAAAAUAGAAGAAUACAUUGGUAUCAUAGAAUUUUGUUGGAUAUAAUACCUAACAUUCAAUACUUUAAUGUCAUAUAAUUUUUUAUUUAUAUUUAAUUAUUUCGAAUAAAAUUUGCUUAUAGGAUACCAAAGAAUUUUCAAAAAUAAAAAUAAAAGUUUAUGAAAAUAAUUUAAACUCACUUGUUUUAUAAAAGGCAACAUAAUUCCAAAUAGAGCUCCAUCACAGUGAAUGUAGAAUCGAUCACGAGUAAAACCACAUUUCUUUAGUGUUUGUAUUACAAGAUCAAGAUCAUCAAUACCUCCUUUCAUAGUUGUCCCUGCAAUAAAAUAAAUAUGUAAGCCCAAGUUUAGUUUUUGGUGGGAUCUAAGCUUAAGUUUAUUAAGUUUAUUAAUUCAAAACUUUAUUGAAAUGUGCAUGCAUAAAUGGUGCAGUGCGAAUAUAUAUAGUUUUCAAAAACAUGGAUAAUACACAAGAGACCUAUGUUUAGAUUGAUGAUGGCUGGUUUGUCCUUGUGGGAAAGUAGACUGGCCUCUAGUUGAACACAAUCAAUUUCACCUGAGAAUAAAGAACCAACCUUCACACAAUGCAUUCUAUACAUUCUUGCUAUUUUGAAUAUUGAAUAAUGUGACUCUUGUGAAGUAUAUAGAAUCCCAUCUGGAAAUUGUUCUCUCCUGUAUAGAAAUGUAUGAAUUAAUUAUGCUUGUGUACUAUACAUGUUGCAUAUAAUAAUUAUUUUAGAUAUAUGAACAAGUUGUACGUAGAAAAACUGACCCUACUAAAAUUCCAUGAAGAUUGCCUUCACUUCCACCAGUUGUGACAUAUCCCCAAUACUCACUAUUGUCUAUGUUCCAAAGAUUUGCAAACCAAUCAAGCACACUAACUUCAAAUGGAGAUGAAUUCAGAGAGAAACUACUUCCAACAAAUGGAUCACCCGCAUUGUUCAAGUGAAAAUGAAAUAAUGGUGCUAAUUUGUCGUAGUUGAAGUCUUGAUUAGUGGGGUAGCCUUCAAUAUCAUUUUUUUGACGUUAGUAAGUGAAGAAUAGUUUAUGCUCAUAAAAAAAAAAAAAAAAAGUAGGUGAAUUGUUUUAGAUAGGUAUCAAAGAAUUUAAACAUCCAAGGAAAACAAUAUACCAUACGGAUCUAGUGAAUAGAAUGAAAAAUUUAAUGAAGAAGAAAAUGAUUUUUUUUUUUUUUUGUUUAGAUAACUUAAUAACUAAAUAUAGAAAAAUGAAGCACCAAAACCCUACCUAAGUUACGUAAGUUGUACUUGUUUAUAGUCUCCGCAUAGCGAGCAAUUAUUGCAUCCAAAUUGGCAUCUUUUUCGCCCAUGCACUCGUUGAUAGGAAGGUCCUUACGUCUAUUCUCUUCAUCAACAUUUUCACGUCUCUCUUCUUCUAUUGACAGCUUGGCAUUGUUAACAUUAACCAUCGGAAACAACUCUGAAUCAGAAUUGAAAGCCAUUGCCAUGGUGCUUUCUCCUAGGUUUUCCAUAAUUAUUAUAUACUUGUAAUUUUGUAGUUAAUUAAUAUAUAUGAAUAUGACCAAUGUAUAUACUGUUUAUAUAUAGCAAAAGAAGGUGAGUUAGUUAAAUAUUUUGUGGAUUGGGUGUAUUCUUCUAUACUUGAAUCAAUGAUGUCCACAAUUCAUUUUGGUGUACAUACGUAGUAUUUUCCUAUCACACACAAACGUGUUGUGUGCAAGUGUGAGUUAUAUGUCCCAUAUCGGAUAGAAAAGUAAAGGUUUGAAAACCUUAUAAGUAAGAGGACCAAUAAACUCAUUGCCUUAAUGUUUGGGUAACAGUGUGACGUCUUUCUCUCUUGUGGGGGUAGUUCUAACCUCGAUGUGACCCUCCUGGCUCCCCUCUGUGCGUCCGGAUCCUCUCCAUUUCCAAUGAAAAUGGGGAUCCACAUUUCCUUACCUUGCGGAACUACAUGUGCCGUAAGUGGAAACCAACGGAUGAGAUCUAUUCUUUCUUUAAAACCAAUUAAAAUUAUUAAAUAAUAAAAGAAUUCAAUUUAUAUUAAACAAAAUAUGUUGCCAAAUUUGAGGGGAAAAUUGUAGACAAGAACAGAUCUGACGGUAACACCAAGGAAAAACCAAGCCAUCUCCACAAAGCAUUCCACACCUCUGUUUCAAUCUGAAAUUGAACAAUUGAAUUUCAUUAUGCUUAAUUACAAUACAGGAACAAAUUCUUUUAUUAUAAAUGAAAUUCUUUUAUUAUUUAAUAAUUUUAAUUGAUUUUAAAGAAAGAAUAGAUCUCAUCCGUUGGUUUCCACUAAUGCCACAUGUAGUUCCGCAAGGCAAGGAAAUGUUGAUCCCCAUUCUCAGAGGAAAUGGAGAGGAUCCGAACUCCCCCUCUGUGAGCUAACAAAACGGAUAUUGGUCAUAAUGUCUUGCAAUAUCUUAUAGUUUGUUUUGUUGGAUGGUGAUUGGGCUGAAAAAGAAAACUACCUAAGACCUACCAAAUAGAAUAAUGAUGUUCCCACAUCUAAGGAUGUUAGGAAACACCGCUAAAAUACCAAAAUAAUUUCAUCGACAGUUAACUGCCGAUGAAUUUUAACCGGAUGUAAUUAACUGCCGAAGAAAAUUGGAGUUAAAUUUGUUAUUUUAUGGUGUUUUUUUAGCCUUCACAAGAGUGUAAACAACAAUUUUCUACCAAAUAUUAGAAAUCAAUGGCAAAUAUAGAAGUGGCAAAACAUGAAGAAAACUUCAAUUUAGUUUCUUCAAAACAAAACUUUAACGUUUUAAAGAUUGGUCCGAAUCAGCAGAUUCAAUUGUGAAUUAGGCAGUUCGUUGAUUGAGUUGAUCUAAACUUUACUUUAAUCUUGUGGAAUAAGGUUGAACCGAUUGAAUUGUGGUUGAUUCAAUUUUCAACCAGAGUGGAUCAUGAUCCGUAUCACUAUUUGAUUUUUAAUGCAUCUUUUAAAGAUUAUUUUAAAUUAUUAAGAAAAUACUAGUACUAGGGAAAAUAUAUUUUAUCGUGUUUUUCUUACAUCGUCGUUUCAAUCUUGCCGGUUAGCUUAAUGGACAGUUACGGAUUAUGGUGGGGAGCCGAAUAUGGUAUCGGUCAAAUAGUGAGCCUGCAUUUGGGCAUCACUCCUCAUCUCAUGUCAGUGUCUUGAAUUUGUAAGGUGAGAAAAUAUCUAAAUUCCGCAACAUGCGAACAUAUCGUAAAAUUCUUUUAAAAAAAUAAAUCUAUACAAAAUCUUUUUUUUAGUAGUAAAAUAACAUUGGUUUUACACGUUUACCUAUAUAAAUUUCAGGAAAGAUAUAGUUUUCUAUUAAAAAGUAGCGAUAUUUUUAAAAAUAUACUAACUUCAGACUUCAAAGUAUAUAUAAGUUUGAGUUUUUCCCUUAAAAAAAGUUUGAGUUUAUACGUAAAGGAUUAUUGAGAAUAAUAAAAUAUAGAAGAAGAUUUGAUAUAAAAUAUAGAGAGAAAUUGGCAUGUAGUGCAAGUGCAACACUGUGAAAAAAAUAAUUUUUUUUAUUAUUUUAAUGGUUAAAUUAUAACUUUUUUUUAACCAAGUUGUAAUUUGACCAUUAAAGUAAUAUAUAUGUCCAAAAAGAAAGAUAAGGGGAAUUAGAUCAACAACCUUUUCAAAAGUUAAUAAAUCUGAAAUUGGGCAUACCUACAUGUUCCUAGUAUACUCAUUUAUGAUAAGUUAGAAAAAUAUGUCCAUAAAGUUAAAUUAAAAAAGGAAAGGGUAAGGUCAAAAGGUCAAAGUUGGCUAAUCUAUUUGCAGAAACAUUCCCUUCUCAAGUAGUAAAAAAUGUCUUGUUACUUGUUAGAAGUAAGCAAUUAAGUCAUUUGUUCCACAAACAUGCACUACUUUUAUAGACUUGAAAGCAAGAAGGACUAGCUGAGAGUCUGAUUUUAGCCGGAGCCUAUGGUCAAAUUACAACUAUCUCAAGUGAGAUUCAAAUUAUGUACAAUAAAAAAUACAAAGUCAAACUAUAAUCAUUGAAUCGACGGGUGCAGUUAUCAUGCAUAAGAAAUUGCAUAAAUUUCAGUCCAUUAUGCCAAAACCAUUUUGCAGUGGAAAUGGUUUUUGUGAGUUGGACUCCAAAACUAUUUUGCAAUGGAAAUGGUUUCUGUGAGUUGGACUCCAAAACCAUUUUGUUGUGGAAAUGGUUUAUGUGAGUUGUACUUCAAAAUCAUUAGAUGUACUUAAUGGUUUUGAAUUUUCUUUUUCAUUAAAAUUUCAAGAAUUGUUGAUGAAUCAACACCGUUGAUUUAUCUUGUUCCGAUCAAUUCGCAACAAUUGAAUAAUUCAAGAAAUGAAUUGAAGAUGUAUGAAUCUCUCGCCGUCGUGUGAACCUCUAAGAAUCCUUCCGGUUGGAGAGUUCUACAUAUCUCACCGGCGAAUUCCGCCGGUUUAACGAAUUCUUCGAAGAAACCGCCUUUACCGGAGAAUUCAAAAUCGAAGGAAUCACCAGGAAAUGGAUGUUUCCGUCCUUCUCCUUGAAUAAUCAACGGCGGUGACGGUUUCUUGAAUAUUCCGACGGAGUCCACAACGCCAAUUUCCUUCAACGCUAAAACAUCUUCUCCGGUGGGAGUAUCAAUGCACAGAGCUUUAGAAUUCGGCAAAAGUGAGCCUUCUCCGAUGAGAUCCUAGAAAAUAGAGGCGUAGUGUUCAACGGAGCGGCGCCAAUUCUUGCCGGAGAAUGGAUCGCCGGAGGUGGAGAGAUGAGAGGGGGCGGUGAGGUUUAGAUUUUCGGAGAAGAAACAGAAAUCGGAGGAGUUGCAUGAUCUGCCACGGACGGUGACGAUGAUGGCGAAUCAAACAGCGAAGAUGAGAUCCAACAUGAUGUUGUUGUCUGAUUCUUUGGAGAAGAGAUAUGCGAUCAAAUCUGAUGGUUGUGAAGUGUUUAUGCAGCGUGCAUAAGGAAAUGACUUAUGCAUGAUAACUUUGCCCUGAGCCAACAUCUCUUAGACAUUAUAUUAUAUUAUACUAUAUUGUUAUUUUGACACGGCACGGCAACCUUGUAGUAAUACAAUGGCCUUGAAGACAUAUUAAAUUAAAUAUGUUUUUUUAAGAAAUUAAAUUAAAUAUUUAUUGAAUAUAUGAGUAUAUAUUAUAUUAUAUAUUGAAUACUCAUCAUUCGGUCUCAAAUAUAUAUAAAAAAAAAAAUCAAAAAAGUUGAUUAGAUAGAGUUUGAAUUUUGAAAAAGGUGCAUCAACUUUUUAUAACCAAAUAUUAUUUAUAUACUAGCGUUUAGACGGAGUCGGUGUCAGUCUGUCCCGUCUUCUUAUUACGUUAAUGCCUGUGAAUUACAAACAUUAGUUUUUAUGAAAUUUUGAUUAAACUUAUCUUGAUUUUGAUUUUUUUUUAUUUUGAUUAAAAUUAUAGGUAUAAAUAAUAUAUAUAUAUAUAUAUAUAUAUAUAUAUAUAUAUAUAUAUAUAUAUAUAUAUUGCACUUUCAUAUUUUAAGUGUAAAUCAGACUCGGUUUGCAUAAAAUAUGAGAGAUAAAUGACAAAAUAAAUCUUAUUUAAAACAAUUAAAAAAGAGCUAUGAAAAUUAUAGGAGUUUUGUUAUAUGGCACGAGAGGUUCCGCACACGAAUUGCACAACAUGUUCAUUUACAUGUGAACUUCUCUCUUAAUGGAUGAAAGUUUAUAACUUUUUUUCAAAAAUAAAAGCCAAACCAACAUAAAAUAAAAUAAAUUAUUGGUAUUAAUUAAGAAUUUGUUUGAAAAAACACCCAGUAAUUUGAAAGAUGACUUAUAUUCAGGUGUAAAAAAAACUUCUUUCCAAAACAUGCUUAGCAUUAAAAACAAAUGGAAUACUUUAUCAUUUAAUUCAACGUAACUAAUCAAUUUCAUAAAAAAAUGUGUAUUUCCUUAAUAAAAAAAAUCACAUAAUAUGAGACAAAAAGAAUGACGUCGUAGUCCCUAUUUUCUUUAAAGAGAUGGAAAUUAAGUUGUUUAAGUGCAGCUUAAACCUUUGAGCAAGCCUUAAAGAACACUUUGUAAUACACAUUGCUUCAAGGGUGAUGCAGUUGCCAUUAAAAUUCUGGAAUAUGAGUAUGUUGUUAGGAUUGACAUUUGCAAGAAUUUUCUUCUUAGAAGAUUGAUGUUGAAGAAAGGGGGCACCCUUCCCACUUUGGAUGACUUGCACAACAAAUGAAACAAUCUUAAAAAGGUGCUUGAAAAACGGUCUCUCGCACCUAUUGGUAAGAAAUUUAUAUUUUCACUUUUUCGUCUAUUGAGGAUAUACGUAGGGUUCUUGUUGUAGGGCCUUGAAACCUUGCACCAAGAAUACUUCAUUUGUUUUCGUACACGCCAGAUACAUGGUUAGAAACACUAAUGUUCAAUUUUAAAUUAGGAUUCAUGGCAUUCCACUUGAAUAUUGGAGGGGCUUAAAAGAAAAUUCCUAUUGGAAGGAGUAUCAGAAUUCUUCUGGUAUUAGAUGAAGCGAGAAGCGAUUAGUAGCGAAGAUGAUGUUUCGAUUUAUCUUUCUUAAUUGAAUUUCAGAAUUUUUUUCAAAAAUUUAGACGAACAUUCACUUUAAAGAAGACCUUUAAAUUUAAAGAACAUUUUCAAAAUAUUUAUAUUUAUAUCUCUUCAAAAAUCAAGCAUAGUUUUGACCAAGACUUUUGAGUCUAAGAACUAUUUUUUACCAUAAGGACAAAAUCAUGUCAUUUGUUUUUUGAUUGUGAUGUUUCUUAUAAGUUAUGUUUGGAUAUUUUAUCUUUGCUAUGUGUUAGCCGUGCUUUGUCUCAAUUUGUAUGUUUGAUUUCCGAUAAGAAAUUUGUGAAUGACUAUCUUCAAUUAAUAUGAAUGACUUGCUCUAGUCAUCUUGUUUUUGGUAAUCAUGACAAUUUUAAAGAUUCUCUUGUUGGUUUGCUGAAUCUUUUAGUUUGGUCUUGUAUUUUUUUGACACAUACUUUGGUUAUGUAUUAAAACCAUUUUUUUUUUUAAAAGGCAAAAAUGUAUUAUAUUAUCACAAAUCAAUAAGUCCUCCUCCACAAGGUGUAAGAUAUGGAACUCACGGAGAAAACGUCAGUUACAUUAAAGUAUCAACAAAGAGAGAGAGAUAAUAGAAAAUUAAAAAGAAAAAUGUUAGAUAUCAAUAAUGAUUUUAUCAAGAAAGAUUCAAGAAUGACAUGGCAGAAUAAUCACCCUUAGAUUCCAGUCUUAUUUAUUAAUCUUUUAUAAAAAAUAAAAAAUAAAUACAUAACACCCAACACCCCAUGAUUUCCGGCCAGACUGAGAUUUUAUUGGCUAACAUUAAUUUUGGGAUAAUUUCUUGAUAAAAUCUAAGAGUUAUUAUUCUGCCAUGUAAUUCUUGAAUCUUUUUUUAUAAAAUCUUUCUUGAUAUACAACAUUGCUCAAUUAAAAAACAACUAACAAACAUAAAAAGGGGUUAAGCCUCUAAAGUUGAUAUUCAAAGUCAAGCUGAACGUAUUUCGACUUCAACCACCAGAAAGAAUGAAGUUUUACUAACCAAAUAAUACAAAAACCCUCGUGUAGUUGUUUGGAAGAUCAACCUAACCCUCUAAAUUCAACAAUAUGCUCCCGAUCCUUUAUUAACCAAUGACGAACCUGAAACCAAAUACCACAGCUGGCCAUAAAACUUACAACGGAAAAAUAAAUGGUCCCUAUCCGCUUGCAUGCCAUAGAGCCCCGUACAAAUUUGAUCAUUCGUUGUCAGAACCCUUCGGCAAACCAUAUUGUCUUUUGUGGGCACCCAGUUGAGUAAUAAACGUCACACAAAAAGAUUGAUUUUUAAUGGAACCGUCUUUAACCACAUAACUGGACUGUUGUCAGGAAACAUACCACCAUCCACCGCCAAGAUGUUGUUAUAGGCGUAGCACACCGUAUAGUGAUGGGAAGGAUGUAAAUUCCAAACCCAUAUGUCCUCCCUAUCAGCCUGCAAAACAACAUAAUUUAAUAGUUUGACACAUUCCCCGACCAACUCCUCCUCCCAUACAAACAACAUCUUACACCACUGUCACGCUACACCAUCCAACCCCCAGCCUAAUGAGUGCAUGUCAGCCACCGUUACCACUUUGAUAAGCGAUAAAUCAUAAAGUCAACUAAAUCUAUCACUCAAGGGAACUCUGCCUAACUAUGGAUCCCGUCAAAAGAGAGUAUCUGAUCCAUUAUCCUCUACACGGUUAAUAUUAUCAUGAAACCAACCACUAUCCAUCAGACCCCGACCCUCUCUAAUCUAGUUAAAAUUCCUCCACCACACAGAACCUCCUCCUCCCCCUAUAACUCAAUCGCCCCCUUUCCUCCCCGUAUCUAACACCCAACACCUGAUACCAUAAACUCUUCCUCUCCUCCAACGCCCUCCAACACCACUUACCAAACAAAGCUAUAUUAAACUCCCUCAACCUCUGCACCCCUCGACCACCAGUUUCUUUACUCAUACAAACAAUAUCUCAAUUAAUCCAAGACAUUUUCUUAUUAAAAUCAAAGUUAAGGCGUUCUCCAAUAUUUUUUGUCAGUGAUGCACUCAUCAACUGUUUAAAUAAUUAUGCGUGACUACUCUUGAAUUUUUUUUUUUGUUGGAUUGAUAGUGUCAUUAUGUUUUGGCGUUUUUAGUUUAUUUACUAUCGUAUCAUUUGAAUCUAUUCUUUUGAAAUUUAUUUUGGUCUACUAUUUAAAAUUUGUUUUGUGCUUUUGUGGAACAUACAAAACAUUCACGAUAUGCCAAUAAAAUGCCCCAUCUAGUCUCAAUAACUAAUAUAUUCGAUCUUUAUAUAUUAAUCAUCGAAUGAAUGUAAAUAAUUAUUUUUUUAGAAAAGAUAUGUAUUAUUAUAUGCAGGAACCGAAAUUUAAAUGUCAGACACUUCGCUCAUUCACCUUAAAAAAUGUGAGUUGUAGCAACUAAAUUACCUAACAAAACCUCCUAUUAAGGAGGAACAUUUACCCUCAAAGCAACAUUAUAAUAUCCUGCCCCUUAAUCUUACAACAUACCCAUCAAAUUGACGAAAUUACCCUUGCUUAUUUUCCACUCUCAACUUUAAAACCAGAGUCAAAGAUCCUCUUUCUCUUUUCCCUUUCUCUCUUUUCUCUGCAAUUUUCAACCUUCUUUCUAUUUCUUCUUCACCAUGCAGCAAUCUUGAUCUAUACCAAAAUAUCGAUAUCAAUGGAUUUACUUGAAGGCGUUGGAGAGAGUUCAUCGCCACCUCGUUCCUUCGGCGGCGGUUACACGAACUACGAUAUCAGAACCGACGUUUAUAACCGUUUGGUUGAAACCGGUCACGAACAAGCCGUAUCGAAUCCGGAGUUUCGUGAACAGCUUGAUUCUCACUUCAAUCGUUUGCCUCCAAGGUUCUCUUCAUCAAUUCUAUCGUCACUGUUCAAUUUCAUUUUCUCACUGUUUUUGUUGUUUUGAAUUUGAAUUGUUUUUGGAUUUUACUAUUUGAAAAUUUGAAUGUCGUUCGCGCAAUUUUAUGUGUUCGAUUUAUUUAGCUAAGAUUUGAGUUGAGUUGAGGAGUAAGAAAUUGAAGUGAUGAAAAUAUGGAUAUUGUUAUUAUUUUCAGUUAUGGACUUGAUGUGAAUGUUGAUAGAGCUGAAGAUGUUUUACUUCAUAGGAGUCUUCUUGAUUUGGCAAGAGAUCCUGAUAAGCGUCCCGUUUACCAUAUUCGUUUAUUGGAGGUAUUGUUGUUACUUUUGUUCCAAAUUUUGAAUCACUUCUAGAAUUAGAAACUUUAUGUUUAGUAGUUCAUCAUGAUAAUUUAAAAAACGAUACACUUUGCGUCACACAAUAAUUGUCGCAUUUGAUAAUUUCACAUAGAUUACGGAAAGGAAAUGAUAAAUAAAAGAAAGAGAACGAUGAUUUUACUGAUUUAUCCUUAUUAACUAUUAGUGUUUUCUCAUCGGUGUAGAAUAUAAAUGCAAAGAUAGUUGUUUGAUUCUUACCAAACAAAUGAGGUUCUUCUGCUUGCAUAUAUUCACCAAAGGAAAUACCUGUGCUAGCCAACUUGCAUCCUAUGUUGUAUCCAAUUCUCGUUUCAAUGGUGGAAUGUAAUUCUAUCUCUCAUUUCCGAGGAAUUUUUUAGAAAUAGGAACCAUCUUCCUAACUUCCGUUUUAAAUGAUUUCUUAAUCAUGAGUUUUGUAUUUGAUUUGUAGUUUUUUACACCGCACUCUUUUUUUUAUACCUUUGGGUUUUCCUUGUAAGGUUUUUAAUGAGGCGAUUGUAGUUUGUUUCUCAUGAUUGUACCCUUGGCUUUUGGCAUAGUCCCCCAAGUUCUAUUAUUUUCUUUUAUUUUAAUAAAUUUAUUAGGGGUGUUACAAAUGAUAGAUGGUGAUCUUGGGUGCCAACAUAGUUGGAUGUCAUUUCUGCCAUGCAAUGCUUUGGCACUAUAACUUUUGCUUAAAAAAACUUGAGGGUGUAAAUUGUAUUAAUUAGAGGGUACAAUUGGAAAAAAAAUUAAUACAUUGGAAACCUAAGUGACAAUCUUUUUGGGACAAUUUUUUCCGCAAAUAUAACAAGUAUUAUGGGACAAAGGGAGUAAUUUUUUUCUCAUAUUAAUGCCUGUACCUAUGAAGCGCUGGCACAAAUAUGGACACUGGAACAACAGUGAUACAUGGACACUGAUAAUACUUUGAGAAAGCAAAAGUGAUUGAACAUAACUUAUAACUAUAUGUAUGUGUGAUGGACACACAUAGAUAUGUACUGACUUUUCUUCUCCUAUAUACCAUUUUGCUGGGCAGAAUAUUGCUACUAGGACAGAUGGUGAGGAUCAAGAAAUUGUUAAUACUCAUACUCGCCCCGAGUCUUCUUCUCAUGCAACAAAUGGGGGAGUCAUAGCAUCUAAUAAGAGGUAUUCAGUGAAAUUUGAAGUAUAAUAAUGCAUAUAUACAUGCGCACAUAUUCACAGUAAGGUUUCACAAAACUGUUGACGUAAAUAUCAGUUUUAUCUUUUCAUAAUCUAUAGUUUAUGUAAUUUCUAUCUUUAGGACAAGAGAUCUGGCAACCGAGUUUGAGACUUACUCGAAGCUUGAGGAUCUAAAUUUGGAUGUUAUGAAGAACUCCAAGGAUAAAAUUGACAGCUUUUCCCAGAGGUACCAAUUGAAUAAAAUUGUGUCGUGAAUUCUUACUUUAUCUUUAAACUUUUGAAAUGAUUAUCUUGUUACAUUCAUCAGAACCCAAUAUGGCUGCAAUUGUUGUUUGUAGAACAGGAAUUUAGCUCUAUAUACUUGUUACAAGUGGAAUUAGAAAGUCCAAACUACUAAGAGUUCAUGCUAGGUGAGAAAAUGAGAGGAAGACCCAAAAAAACUGAGAGAAGUGUAUUCUUAGAAUAUGAAAGAGAACUUUCUAAAAAAUUUAUUUGUUAAAUCUUGAAAUGAUACAGAAGCUGGUCCUCUGUAUUUAUAAAUUUAAGGGUAACAGAAAAUAACCAGUUAACUAACCAUAAUUGUUAGUUAGUUACUUACUGACUCUAUUUGAAAGGAAGCUUCUAUCACAGAAGCCGAACAUCAGCUACUAGAAACAGAAGCUGCGAGAAGCUAAUAGUAGCAGCACCUAAUUAUGUGCUAUGCUUAUGCAAUAGAAGCAACAACGCAAUAUGGAAUAAUAUGCACCUGAACAUUCCCUUUAACUCAUGGUCCUUGUGCCGAUGAAAAGUAAUCAAACACUAAGGCUAUCUCUGAGAAUUAUGAAUCUCCGAGUAGAUAGAGGUUUGGUUUGUAUGUGGACCUGUUGAUGGAAUGCAAUGGACCACUAGACUCUUUUAGAACUCUCUCUCUAAAAAAAAUAUAGCCAGCUCCAUGUAUUUAGCUCUAGAAUGUAAAAUAGGAUUGUAAAAUAGGGCCUAAAAAAACUCAAUAACCAGAGGUUGAUCUUCUAUCAUCUGGGUUAGCAGCCAGUUUGCAUCACAUAUUCAUAAUAGGCUUUUAGAGGAAGUGGCGGUCUUGGCAAAGCUUUGAGCAGAAGACUGUUGUCAUUUGUUGUACCCUUAAGAUAGAUGAGUAUUCUUUUAACUAUUUCUACUGUUCCGUUAAGGGUUAUAGAGAAAUUGACACACUUUUUUUACUGUAUAGGAAAUUUAUGACCUGGUAAAUAUGGAAAUGCCUUUUGCUUGUGGUAUGUGAGCUCUAGGCAAUAAGUCCUGAAUGUACCUUCCUUUUAAAAGGAAUAGAGACAUCCUUUAAGCGAUUCACUUCAAUGCCCAGAAAAUAGUCUUAAGCACCUAAAUGCUUGAGAAAAGUAGAUUUAAUUAUGGAAUAAGCUUGUUUAGACCCAUGAACAGUGAAUGAAGACGAACCACAUUUAUUGGGCUUGGAACCAAUGUUGAAUAAAGCAGGACCCAGACUCUCAAUGCAUGCUCAAGUCCAAGGUAAUCAAAAUUGGGAUUUUACGUAUAAUUUGCAAUGCUGUGAAGGCUGAACCUGAUUCGGUGAGUACUGAAAUGAUUAAAGCUGUUGUGGAAUGUAAUUGGUGUUAAACCUAUGAUAGCACAUGGAUGCAUCAUGGCCAAAUUAAUAGCAUACUUUGCACUGAAUGCUAUCACAGCCACCACAACCACCUCUUUCAAAUCUACCUCGCCUGCCUCAAAAUUACUACUUAUGCCAUUGAUCUGAGUGCUCUGAACAUGUUGUGUAGGACUUUAUUUGAAACUUGAGAAGAAGAAAUUAUAUUAACCCUUAAUUCUAGUGGAUGCGUUGAUGUUGAUAGAAGUUCCAUCAUUCCAUGUAUGUCUAACUUUUAAAGGAAGAAAAUAACUUUAUUUUGGAGGGAGGGGCCAAAUGAGAGAAGGAAGCUGUUCUUGUAUCAACCCAUAUACAGAUUGAUAUGAAGUAGACAAGAGGCCCAACAGAAACAUCAUGUGCAUUAUAGAAAAAUCUAUUCGGUUUGGAAAGUUUGUUUUGCUCUGAUGUGCUUGUGUAUUUUUCAAAUAAUCUUUUCAUUUUGGAGGAUAUACCAGUAUCCCUGUGUUUGUGUUAUUUUUAUAUAACUUAGAGGUUUCAUGGAUUUAUUCAUUACAACUGGUAGAUAUAACCUUAUUUCCGUGUUGGAGAAAUUGGACCGUUUGACCUUGAGUCUUUAACUCUAUGUGAUCUAUCUAUGCUACAAAUUGAAGUAUUACUUGUGUGUGAAAUGUUACCUGCAUGAUUCAAUAUCUUUGCUUGUGGAAAAUAAAAAUGCAGGCAUGAACAUUCAAGUGUCCCGGUUCAUGAAAUAAUAUUUUCCGCUGUUGACAAACCAAAGCUUUUAAGUCAGGUAUGAUGAAAAAGUUAAACUUGCUUUUUAUAAUUAAAAUUUGCAUAUUUGUAAGUUAAUUUCAAACUCCAAAUGUAAAUGAGCUAGAUUUUUCAUCUACACUGCAUUCAAUCCAUGGGUUUAUUUUCCGUUGUUUUAUUGAUUUGUCAUGUAUGUCGAAUUUGUGUAAUGGAAUAGAAGUUUCCCUCAAUAUUUGAAGCUAUUUGAUAACUAGAGAUUUUUUUUAGAAGUUUGGAGUAUCCUGUCAUAUAAAGCAAAGAUAAAAUGAAGCUUAUAGACACUUUUUGAAAGCUUAUGUGGGAUAUUAUACCAAAGUUUUAAUAAAUAGACUUUCUGCAUCAUUGUUUUCUUUAUGCAUCAUUAUUUUCUUGAUAGUGCACGUGAUUUGUUUUCUUGAUAGUGACAAGUGAUUUGUAUUAUUGAAUAUUAUUGUUAAUUUAACACAUCAUUAUUCCUACAUAAUGCAUAAACAUUAGAUAGAAAAGAUCUUGGGGGUGGAUGUUGGGGUUUCCUUUGUGCAAACUUAGCUCUAUUUUGUUACUUUAAUGAAGUAUGAGGUUCUAGUUUGUUAAUGCCCUAAAAUAUAAUUGAUGAAUAGCAUGAUUUCUUUUGACGGAUAUUAUUUCCUAUUGAUGGAUAAUAUGAUUUCUUUGAUGAAUAUUAUUUUCUUUAGCUGUCCGCAUUGCUGUCUGAUAUUGGGCUUAACAUCCGUGAAGCACAUGUAUUUUCCACAACUGAUGGAUACUCCCUUGAUGUUUUUGUGGUGGAUGGAUGGCCACUAGAGGUAUGCUGCUACAUGAAUUUGAUGAUACUUGUUUCCCCUUGAAGACCCUCUGCAAAGUUGUAUCUUUAAAACCAGUCAUUGUUCGUUAAUUUAAAUUUUACAUUGACAUUUGUGUUGUUGCAUGCAUUUGAUAACUCUUCAAGUCAUUAUACAAUUUUGAACUUGGUGGUUAAACCGUUCGACUUUGAUACUGGCAUCUAAGCUUUGUAGAUGGAUUAGGUGCGAACACGAGUUACUCACUAACGUUCAUCUGGAUCAUAAUUACUUAAGGGAAAUACUAACAAGUGCCCUUAGGGCACUUGAUAAUAAGUUUAAAGUGGAAGUUUUAUCUUGGAAGUUGUGUAUUCAACAUAUUGAAACAUUAAAAAGUAACUUUUUCAACAUAAAAUUUAUCAAUUGUUAGCAAGACCCUUACUUAAAAAUAAUUAUUUUAUCAGACUUUUUAAUCUGGGUUAAAAAGUUAAUUGGUUCAAACCAGGGCAUAAGCUUGUAGGCUAUGAGGGAGCACUGUUAUUAUAUUUCUCCUGUGUCGGUGAUCUGUGCUGAGUCCCAUUGUUGCUUACUUUGCAAUCUUGUGCUCAGGAAACUGAUGGUUUGUAUGCUGCUAUGGAAAAAGCUGUAGCAAGGAGUGAGGUGCAUUUUGUCUCCUUGAUCUUGAUUCUGCAAAAUCUUAUAUCUGUUUUGUUUGAAAUGUUGAAUUUUACCUCCGUCAAGAAUGAAUAGAUUAAUGAUUCUUGAUGCUCAUAGGCUUGUAUUUCCUGCAAUAAACUUUCAAAAAAGUAACAACUCUACAAUUUCCUUGGAAAUGGCUUAUGAGUAUAGGAUCCUAGGGGAGGAAAAGUAUUUGGGAUUUUAAAACUGGAUAUAUAGAAAUAGACCACUUACAACAAACUUAACAAAUUCUGGAAAGCUUAUAGCUUGUUUUUGAAAAAUUUAAAAGUAGUAUUGCUGUUUCCCACAGCUCAUGCUCAAUAGGAACCUGUAAAAGCAUUGAAAAAGAUCUUACACUCUUUCCUGCCACCGAAGCUUAUAGGGUGGACACGAUUAUCAAAAGAAGAUGGAGAAACCCUCAAACCAAUGCUCAUACAAGAUGCCAAAAUAUCUAAUACAAAGCGGCCAUGUAACCCCACUGUGUAAAUAAUGGUGUCCGCGGUCAAUCUCCAAAAGUAAAACACAAACAUAGGGAAUAACAGACCUUGUCAAGUGACCUAUGAUUUUGAUACAGAUAACUAAUAUUACUAUUGAUAUCUAUGUCCCAAAAAGACUUAUGUGGAUAAUAUCUCACCGAGUGGCCUCUUCCUCCGGUCGAGUCAUCUUUCGCUUCAAUACCAGGAACUGAGACGGAUUCGGAUGGAGAAGGAUUAAAUAGUUCAUCAUGAGCUGUCCGAAACCCGCGAAAACUCAGUCUUUAGGAAUGUCACACUGUAUUUUACUUAAAAAUCAUUGUACACAAAUCCUCUUCAUAAACUUUAGUUGAUAUAUAUCUUACCCUUUUCUUAAAAUGUAUGCCCGUGAGCUUUAGUAAAUAUUCAGAAAACCCACUCCGUUCAUCAGAAAUCCACUUCAAUUACGGAAAGUGUAAUGCUUAUAUCUGAUGUUAUACUUCAUUUAAAUAACAAUUAAUGCACAGCUUAACUAAAGAAUACGAUUUUCACCAAUGAGUUUACGCAAGCUUGUGGUUUCAUUGCUGCUCUGGUUUAUGCUGGUUUUAAUGAAUAUAGAGAUACAUUUUAAUUUUCUAAUAUCUAUUGAUUAUAGUCUAUGUUUAAUGGUUGAGGAGAAUUUUGUAUUGUUUAGUAAGUAUUUUGCUUUCGCCACAUCUAGGGUGUUAAAAAUUAUGUAAAUAAAUAGUCAUGGUUGAUAGUAUUAGUAUCAUGUAAAUACAGUUAUAGGGUAACAUCAAUAUUUCUAUUUUUGUCAUAAUUUUAUAAUUCAGUAUGCAUAUGAUAUAGCUCUGAUGUGUAAGACACAAUUUCUCUCAUUCUCAACAUGGUAUGAGUCUAUCCUAGAUUUUGUUAUUGAGCCAUGACUUCUGUUAUCCCAGCCGCAUUUUUGUCUACACUUUAGGGCUUUGUUUGCGAGUUUUGAGGGGAAGGGAAGGGAAGGAAGGGAAGGGAGAAAGGAGGGAAAGCCUUCCCCUUGUUUGGGAGUUAAAGAAACCAACAAGGAAAGGAGAUGGAGGGCUUAUGUGAUAAUUUUACUAUUUUACCAUUUUUUCUCUUAAAAUCAAUACAUUGUGUUAUAUUUUGUAAUUUAUCUUGUAAAUUGUAAUUGGAUUUUUGAAUUAUUAUGAGUACAAAAUUGUCAAUUUGUAUGUUUAACCCCCCAAUACCCCCAAUUUGGGGGAACUUUAAAAUUGGACAAAUGAAGCCCUUCAAAACCCCCCAAAACCUUUCCCUAUUUUUUUAAAACUCCCAAACAAGAGUUUACCUCUCCAUAAGCCUUUCCUUCCCUUCCCCUCCCCUCCAAAACCCAACUGUAAACAAAGCCUAGAUGUCCAACCUUCUGCGUAAGAAGGUAUGUUCAGAUCCAUGUUAUGACGUCCACAUUAGUCCAUACUUCAUACCAAGCACGAAGGAUUCAUUCCUCUUUCCCUGCAAGAGGAUGCGUGAACCUUCAAGUCAAGCGCACUAUACCACGGCUUUCUUUGAUAGGGGGUCAAAUGGCAUUUCUUGUUUGGGUCGAGCGAUUCAAAGUCCUAAGCGUGAGGGGCUGUCUGAGAGUCCUACAUCGGCCAGAGAUAUCGUCCAAGGAGUGUUCAUAAGGCUUAGCAGUCGUCACUCAAGAAGGAUUUUUUUGUAGUUACGAGUUUUCUGAGAAACAAAUGUCGUUGCAAAACCAAGUGCAGUCGCAGAAUAUUGAGCCAUGGCAUCAACUAAUUGUCAAUUCAUCUGGCAUAAAUAGUUACUUUAGGAUCUUAGGUUUGGAGAUGCUACACAGAUGACACUCAUCUGUGAAUAAUUAAGUUGUUUUCUUGUUGCCUCAAAUCCAAUAUUUCAUGGCAGGACUAAACAUACUGUGAUAGAUUGUCAAUUUGUCAUUUUAUUAGGGAGAAGAAUUAAUCUGGAGAUAUCACUAGCUUUGUUGGUUCAAAUGAUCAAUUGGCAGAUGUAAUGGAUUCUCUUCAUCAUUUUCUCUUUUCUCAACACUGGAAAAUCACUCUAUUGAAAAAUUAGGACAAUCACACAUUAGCCGAAUUUUAAAGUGAUAUUUUAAAUUUUAUCUAAUAUUUGGGAUUCAGUAAUACUCUUGCUAAGCAUGUAAUAUUGUAAUCAAUACUCUUCCUUUCUUUAGGGGUCAUGGUCUCAUUCUUCAAAUUCUCAUUCAGCUGUGGAGAAAGCCUUAGCAGCAGAAGGAAAAUCUGGAGACUGGGAAAUAGACAGGAGGUCAUUAAAGAUAGGAGAAAAAAUAGCAUCUGGAUCCUGUGGAGAUUUGUAUGUUGGAUUGUUUUGCCAUUAUUUUUUCUAUAUUUUAAUUUUUUUUUCUUUCUAUUCUGCUCUAUAUCAUCAUACUUAUAUUCUUGUGCAUCUAAUUCGCUUUGUAUUUCGGACAGGCAUCAUGGAGUUUAUCUUGGUGAAGAUGUUGCUGUUAAGGUUCUGAAAUCUGAUCAACUGAAUGAUGCCUUAGAGGAUGAGUUUACUCAAGAAAUAGCAAUUUUGAGGUCAGUAUUUUGCUGCUCUUGUUUAAGAAUUAAGACAAUCCUGCAUAUUGCAUAUUUUGUUUUUCUUAUAAAUUCUUUCUUCCGAAAAAUUAUUAAAUAUUUUUAUUCUUGUUUGUUGUACCUAUAAUUUUUUAUACUUUUCCUUACCAAAAAAAAUAUAUAUAUUUUUUUAUACUUUUAAGUAUGUUCUCUUUUUCUUCAAGGGUAAUCCUAAAUUCUAAAUAUUCUAGCAUAAUAUCAAGAUAUUAUAAGAUAUUUUCUUAUAUUCUAACAACUACAUAUUUAAAAAAGGAAAGAGAGAAAUGAAAUAUCAACUCAAGUACCAAGUCUUUAGAAGUGGUUUGGCAUGCUACAUAACUAUCGGUCUUAAUUUUUUCAAGGAAGGAAAAACAGGCCUUGCUCUUUUUCUGGUUCACUAGUGACCUGUACAUUUUGUCAAGAAAGUACCAAGUCUUGAGAAGUGGUUUGGCAUGCUACAAAACUAUCAGUCUUAAUUUUUUCAAGGAAAAAAUAGGCCUUGCUCUUUUUCUGGUUCACAAGUGACUUUUACAUUUUGUUAAGUGUGUAGAUCAUGCCAAUAAACUCUGCUUAGUUAGCUGCUUCCUUACAACUGUUCACUUGGUUAAUCCUUCAAGGAUUGGAUGUCAGUCUAUAUGCUACUAACUCCAUCUCACUAUAAAUGUCUUAUUUGCAAUAUUUCUCUAUCUCAUUAAUUGUCACUUUAGAAUAACGAUACAACAUUUAUUAACAUUUUCCUAAGAAGUGCGCACUACCUUAAAAAGGUGCAUAAUAUGAAACAGAGGAAGUACUUAGUUUAAAUGCUUUUGUUUACAUUAAUUAUAGCCUUGCAAGGAUUCUCACUUUUUCCUUUACCUUUCUCUAACCUGGAAAUAUGUUGACAAUUUGACUUUUGUAUUUCUGAACGCAGACAGGUAGAACAUAAAAAUGUUGUCCGUUUCAUUGGUGCAUGCACAAAGUGUCCACAUUUGUGCAUAGUAACAGGUAUUAGAUUUAUCCAUUUGGUUAUGCUAAUAUAUAGAUGUACAUUAUCCAAUUUAAUGUGUAAUUAGUAAGUUUUACCCUUUAUUGAGAGAUGUCUUGCAUAACUAAACACUAUUAUGACACCCUCCAAGAGGUUCGAAGUUUGAAAUUGAACCCUCUUAUACACGAAAUAGAUUUUAAAAAAAAGAACUUAUGUCCAUACCAUUCUUUGUCUUUUUCAAUAGUAUAAUAAUAAUUGCCAGUAAUUGAUGAAAAACUUUUGUUGGUAGGGCCGCUUAGGUUACUCUACAACAAUAGUUGUAAGGAUACUCUAGUUGGAAACCUGAAAAAAUGGUAUCAUUGGGAGACAAUAAAUUGAUAUGGUUGAGUCAGAAACUUUGAAAUUAAAAUGAACACGGGAAUUGCCAUGGGAGAAGUUCUAUGAAACUUAUUUGAAUUUAAACACCAAUGUAAAAAUUUGAUGAAAUAUCGUAUAAGAUGAGUAAUCAAUCUAUCUAUUCCUCAUUUUAUUCACAAAUGAGAGUCCCUUGAUUAAUUGAAAUAUGAAAUAAAAAUAAAAGCGUAAAAGCAUUAUUUGUAUUCAAACUAUAUUUCAAAACUUUGUAUAUUUUUGCAGAGUAUAUGACUGGGGGAAGUCUGUAUGAUUACUUGCACAAAAAUCAUAAUGUCUUGGAGCUAUCUCAAUUACUCAAGUUUGCAAUUGAUGUCUGCAAAGGAAUGGAGUAUUUGCAUGGAAACAACAUAAUUCACAGGGAUCUGAAGACAGCCAAUUUGCUGAUGGAUGCUCACAACGUAUGAAUUUACUGAAAGUUUGAACUGCUGCUGCUGAUAAAAAAAAUUUUAUUUUUUAUUUUUUUAAGUUUUCUUAUCAUGACUGACGUUUAUUUUUUUUUUUGAGUAGGUUGUUAAAGUGGCAGAUUUUGGAGUUGCCCGGUUCCUAAUUCAGGGGGGAGUGAUGACUGCAGAAACUGGAACCUAUAGAUGGAUGGCUCCAGAGGUUUGCUAAAAAAUUGUUAUGCUUUUUCAUGUUUUAAUAUCAUGUGGAAGUAUUGUGUAAUGUAAAGCCAAUGGUUCUGGUCCAUUACUAGCAACAACUAAACGUUUCUUCUGACGACUAAUUGAGUUUGGGAUCUAGAAUUUUAUUUUACAUUUUCUUGUUGCACACUUCAACAUAAACUGUUAAAGUAUAUGUAGUAUCUUGUGAUAUCAUAGAUAAUUAUGUCAGAGUAUUUGUUUUAAUUAAGGUUUUACAUUGAUUUUACAUGUGAUAUAUUUGGUUUAUUAUGGUUUUACAUUGGGUAUAUUACUGUCAUUGCCUUUUCUCUCAAGGUCAUAAACCACCAGCCUUAUGAUCAAAAGGCAGAUGUCUUCAGUUUUGCAAUAGUCCUAUGGGAACUAGUGACAGCAAAGGUAUAGCCGAAAUUAGACUUGUAGUUCUUUAUUCUCUUAUUUAUCUUCCUUUCCAAUUCUUUGAACCGAUAUUCUUUAUAUAUGUAUAUAUUGUGCAAGAUUCUUGUAAUGAUUUUAUUUUAUUUUCUCCUUUUGGUACUUCAGAUACCAUACGAUACCAUGACUCCACUACAAGCUGCUUUGGGUGUGAGACAGGUUUGUUCUUUAUUUAUUAGUGAGUUUUAUGUUUGAUGUGUAAAAUUGAGAGCUGGCACAAAUUGUUGAGGGGAUACAUUUAAUUAUAGUUAAUGCACAGUAUAAACUCCAAUUAAAGAUGAAUUAAUUUUUUUUCAAGUUUCACAUAAUUGUACCCACUAUAGAUAAAUUCACUUGUAUACAAAAUAAUAACAAACAUGUGUAACAGAUUAUGAAAAAUUAAUGUCAAAUAUAAGAGCAUAAAAAUUAACAUAAAAUAUACAUGUGAUGACUUAUUAUGCCUAAGGAAUUAAAAUUAGUCUGUAACCCUAUAAUUCGGCUUUCUGAAGUGAGCAAUUCAAUUUAAAGAGUAUAAAGUAGGAAGCUCGAUUGUUUGUGAAAAAAUCAACAAUGGUUGAUGUUACGUGCACAUCCAUAAUAAAUCAUGAAUUUGUUAAAAUACUAGCUAUUAAUUUUUUUCUCUUUAAUGGUUGAGAUGUUUUACGUUUUAAAGUGAGAGCUCAAUAUUUUAGGAGCCAUAGUGAUGAAACCUUGAUAGAGAGAGCCUGAUAUCUUAAUUGGUGAGAUGUAUUACUUUAAUCUCUAAUGGUUGAGAUGUCUUACUACUUUACCUCUAAACCUGAGGGUAUAUUGUUUUUUAUUAGUAUUUUUUUUUCAUGAAAAAAAUUUAGGGUGAGGGGAUGGGUGCCCCCCAGUCCAAGGGAAGACCUUAAGGCUAAAAAAACACUCACAAAGAGAUUUACGUUAUCUCCCUGCAAGGGGGCUAGUGGGGCUCGAACAUGGAACCCUUGGAUACAAGAUUUGUUUUUAUUAUAUAAUAUAUCAGUGUCCCAAAAAAAAGCAAUUGGUGAAGAAUUUUGCUACAAACUUAGAUCAAGAAUCAUGUAGGUAGCCGAUUAAUGAUUAUCCAUCAGAUGAGAUGAGAGACAUCGGAUGAGAAUAGGAACCACUAAACUUGCAUGACAGUGAGUAAUCUAGCCCAUCAAAUGCCAUUCACAACAAAUUUCACUCAGUGUCCAUCAAUUGGUCAAGUUCAAUAGUUGAUAAACUUUUUCACAAGUGGUAUAUUUAAUAAUUUAUGAAUUCAAGAGUAUAUUAUGAAUAAUUGAUUAAUGUUAUUCCUAUGUUAUAAAUAAUUGAUGAUUAAUGUUAAUCCACAGAAAUAUAUAUUAUAUAAUGAUACAACAUUGUAUCGAUGUUACCGUGACUGUGUAUAAGUUGCAGUGUUCAACCAGUAGUUUGCACUUUUGUGUCUCUGACCCGGUUGUGAUUUUGUACACCCAUUCAGGGGCUGCGACCAGAACUUCCAAAGAACGGGCACCCUAAACUAUUAGAUUUGAUGCAAAGAUGUUGGGAAGCAAUUCCUAGCAGUCGUCCAUCCUUCAAUGAGAUAAGAGUUGAACUUGAAAAUCUUUUGCUAGAAGUGGAGGUAAACUAUAGUAAAUGUUAUAUUUUAGAAAGAAAAAAAAAAGAGGUUCCAUUUCUUGUUAUUUAAUUUAAUUUCGCUGGUUUCUAUCAAAAAACAAACUUCCCUAGUCUGAUCUUUGUUUUUAACGUGCAAAUUGCAGAAUUAUUCAGAAGUUAAUGGGGCUUAACCUUUCAAGGUCAAACUAUUACAUUCCAGUUAUUUUCAGACGGUUGGGGAGGUCUUUCGCUAUUCAAAUAGCUGUAGAGUUUCUCAUGCUCCCUUUUGCACCGAGGGAAAAAGGACUUCACAAAACUGACCAAUACAGAGUGAGAAAAUGUAAAGAGGCAUACUAAUGUUAUAGUUGACAUAUAACUUAAAUAUAUAUCCCAUGAAAAAUCACGUCCAACUUAACUGUGUAAAGAUAUUUUGAAAAGUGGAAUUUAUUCCAUGCUGUUAUUGAUAUGUUCUUUCAAAUGACGUGAAGUCAAUGAAGUGUAUUUUGUGAGUAAUUUUUCUGUUGAUCAACUAAUGUUUCGUAUUGUAUAUAUUGCACGAGGCGAUGAGCCCGGCUAUCCAAGCUAGUUUAGUGCAAAGUGUUGCUGGUACCAAUGUUUUCCCUAUUAUCAACUCAGUGUUAUUUAUUGUUUGGUUUUACAUUCAGUCUUAAUAUGAAUUUUAAUCGAUAGUGUAAAUAAACAAUAAAUAACCAUUGCAUAGGUAGUAAAAUUCUUUUGAACAAAAGAUGCAACGAUGAAAAGGCUCUCUUGAUGUGCCAAUAAUAGCAUUCUUUCUUCGGCUAUCAUCAAGUGAUAUGCCUCAUAUUGAUGAAUUUAUAUUUAAUAUUUUAAUGGUCUUUGUUUUCAAACGCAUAACUGAUUCAUUGUAUGCAGACCUGGAUUCAAUUAGAUUCCCUAAUCUAGAACUAGGACCUUUACCAGACUUGAUGUCCAUUUACAUUUCAGUAAAUAAGAGAAGCCAUUGAUAUUUUUUUGGCUUGGUAAAUUAUGCAUACAAUGUAUAACAAAUGUACAAGUAUCACUCAAAAUUAAAAUCGAUAUUGUGUUAUUUAUCUUGUUUUUUUUUAAUGGGGGUUAGCAUAUAAUAAAAAAUGUUCAAAACUAGUGUUGUUUUAUUUUUUCAAUAACUAUUUUUUCUCUUCCAUUAAAUUAUUACUAUACAUACUCAUUAUAUUUCAUUUUACAUUUAAGAAAAUGUUGUUUAUCCAGACAAGCACCCUCGUGAAACAUAGUGAAUGAAUGCUAUUGGUUAUUACAAUCACCUCCAUCCCCCGAUUUUCGCUACAACCUGCUUUCAAUUUUGACCAACCUUUAAAAACGGGACACGUGUAUGUCGGGACACUUCGGGAUGAAAGUGCUUGCUACAUAUAGCAGCGCUCAGGGUAACACUUGGGUGACAUUGGCCAAUCACAAAUGCCACAAUGCUUGUGAAAGAGAGAGAAACACAAGCAUUGCGGCAUUGUGAUUGGCCAAUGUCACCAAUGUCACCCAACUCUAUGUCACCCAAAUAUUUUCCUAAUAGGUAAUUGGUCUUGAUAGAGUACUUUGAAUGCAUGUAGAGGUACAUUUAUAAAAAUAAAAAUGACUAACAUCCAAUAGUUAAUGAGGUAAAUGGAAUGAUCUAGGUGUACACGUAAUUAGUCUAGAUAGACUAUUUUGAUAAUCCAUAUAGGAUAUAGUGUUUGCUAUAUCAAAUGUUUGUGCAUAAGACCAACUUAAUACUACGCAGAGAUAGCUGAUUGCAUGCAUAUAUACAAUAGGGAUUGAAUAGAAUUAGGAUGUUGGACCGAUCGAGUGAAUAUAUGAUCUUAUUUUGUUAAAAUUAAGCGUACCUUAUUGUUAUAAAACUGGUUUAUAAUGUAAUGUCUCCUCUUUAAAAACUCUUAUCAAGAGUUAUAACUAUCAAAAGUUGGAGUUGAAUUUUUUCUAGUAUUUUACUAUAUGGUUCAAAUCCAGAGAUAUAAGUAUGUGGAGCCUAUAUAAAGAGCAUAGGUUAUCAUAAUUCAUGCAUCUCCCAUCUUCCUACUCUUUUACUUCCUCGGUUAUAAAAUGAGGGUCAAUUUAGCAAUACAAAUUUAUUUUAAAAUAGAUGUCACUUACACUUUUUAUGUUGAAUUAUUAUUUUACUUUUAUUGCAGCUUUUUUUUUUUGUCAAACUUCUAAUUAAAAUGUACAGUACUUCUAAAGUAUUAUACAAAUAGUAAAUAGAGUUAAUUUAGUAAAAUUGUGAUGUCUAUGACAGCAUAAUUACAUUUUUUUAUUUGUGUGUAGAAAUCUUAAAUGACAUUUAUUAGAGUUCUACUCCCUUCGUCUCAUAAUAUUAGUCGUUUAAAGUUUUUGCACGAUUAUUAUAGAAAUGAUUAAUUAUAUUGAUUUCAAUGAUAAAAUUAGUAGUAUUUACUAAAACACAUUUAUUAAUUGUAGUUAGUGAAGCAGUUAAGUUGGAUGAAAUUCAAUAAAUAAAGGUAUAAUAGUGGAAACAAAUAAUAAAUAUUGCAUUGUAAAGUGACAAUUACUUUGAAGAGAAAAAACAAAAUGUUAAAGAGACAAUAAUUGUGAGACGAAUAAUUGUCUUCUGCAAGUACCUUUCCUCCAAAUAGGUCUACCACCAUGACGGUGGUCAUGCGUCAUUACAGAAAAUCAACCACCAUAGAGGCAUCAACCUCCCGGAGGUUGAAUUUGCUUUAAACAAGAACAUAUAUAGAUACCGAAUUCACGACCAAAUUUGUUUUUACUUGACGAGAUGAAUACUUGCUUGCUUUCGGUCCAGAUACAUAUUGUCCAGAAUCAUUUCAAUCAUUUGAUUUUAUUUGUUAUGUGAUUUCAUUUUUUUCAAAAAAAUAUUGUUGACUCCUACAAAUAUGUAUUGUGCUUAAAGAUCAAUAGUUCAACAAAAAUAAAAAAAAGUAAACUUUCUUCAAAACAAAAAAUAAAGUUAACUUUAAAAGUAAAACAACAAGUCUUGAACCGAAAGUUUGAAUGUUGCUAAUGCCUUUAACAAGAGAUGGAUAUAUAUAUUUGUAAACACUUUUUGAACUCGAAAUCUGUCAUAAAUUAGGGCAUCGUUCCCCCGCUAUGAAUGUACUAAAAAACGAAGUUACUUGUUUUAACAUUUAACUGAUAUUGAAGGCAUUUAUAAUCAUUUAUAAUCACGUAAAGCUAUUAAAAAUAUACUGAAAAUUUCAGCAGAUAUCUAGCUUGAAUAAUUAAACAAAGAAAAACUAUAGUACCCUACAAAGAUUAGCUUAUAUUUGAUUGAAGAGGGCAUAAAUAAAUUUUCUUAUGCAGAUUAUUAUGUUACAGGUAAAACGUUUUUACUACUGAUUAACAUUGAUCAAUCCUCGUUAGAGAACUUAUUGACAUGGGUGGGUUCUUCCAUCAUUAAAUUAUUUUUAUACGCAAAAGUUAAAGAUCAAAUCACAAACCACUUGCUUAAAGGUGUGUUUGUGAGUUAGAUUUUAGACAUAAACGUUUGGAGGGCUAUAAAUAAGUCUAUAUUUUAAAAAAUAUAUUGAUUUUUAAAAAAAAUAAAUUCAAGAACAACUUGAUACAUAAGCAUAUAAUAAGUUUAGCCCCCUAAAAACCAACCGGCAAACACAUACAAAACUCAAAUCUUUUAUCGGUUGGACCAAUCCAUUUUUAGUUUCUUAUACAAUUCUUUUUUUUUACUCAUUGAUGAAAUACUAAUGGUUACACUUGCAUCGAAUUUUAUUAAUUGAAAUAUUAUCCAACCCUUAUAUUUGUACUUCUUUAAUUCUCCUGCAUCCAUUCAACAUUUCAUUGUUUUUUCUAUCUAUCUUAUCUUAUCAUAUUAUUUAUCUAUCAUAUUUAUCGCAUCACUUUCUCUAUUUCUAUCUCUCUCUUGAUGUAUAACGGAUAAUAGAUGUAGAAAAUAUUUUUCUAAUAUUUUUCUAAAUUGUUUAGAAGUCGUUAAUCGAAACAAGUAUCUUUCAUGAUCUUGGUUCAUCUAUAGGAAUAAAAAUUUUCUAUUAUCAUAUUUUGGUGGUUAAGUCCAUUCACCUGUAUGUGUUUGAUUUUUGCCCUCUUGUAUUGGUGGCAGAGUCUAGUUCUUUCAUGUUAGAGUGUUACUUUUCCCACCCUAUGACUUUCCUCGCGCGCCCUAUUUUUUUUCUAAAAAUAACCUCGGAGCAUUCCGGAAUCAACAGAACACAGAACUGAAACAGAUUAGCAUGUCAUUGUGGGUUUUAUCAUUGUUUUUCAAUAAAUCAUUAUACAUAUGUAUAAAAGGCAAUUAACUUAAAUAUUAUAUCAAAAAAUGAUUAUAUAUAUAUAUAUAGACAUACAUACAUGUAUAAAAGGCAAUUAACUUAAAUAUUAUAUCAAAAAAUGAUUAUAUAUAUAUAUAUAUAUAUAUAUAUAUAUAUAUAUAUAUAUAUAUAUAUAUAUAUAUAUAUAUAUCAUUAUACCAAAAAAGAGUUGAAUUUAUAUCAUUACACGUUUAACCUAAUGAUAUACAUUUCAACUAAACCAAUGAUAUAUAUCUCAUCUAUGGCGCCGAAAGAUCAAUGGAGCUAUCAUCAAUCUCAGCCUUCACUCCAGGACCAGGACCAACCCUCUCAUCGGGAUCAAGAUUUUCAAUAAUGUACAAUUCUUCAUCAUCUUCUACAACCGCUUGACCCGCCGCCCGACUUAGCUCAUUAUAAUCUACCAUUCGGGUGGCAUAUCUAUUAGGCCAGCUGUCUGCAUCCUCUCGAUGGUGUCGUCUCCAUAGAUUGCAAGUGGGAGGAAUCGGACAACCAUCCUUCAAAUCCAAUGCCAUAAAAUGGUUGUCAUUCACAUAUGCCAAACACAUCAACGGAGAGAUACUUGGCGGCGGCGGUGGACCACAUAGAGGGAAAUAGGUUGCCGAUGGCCCUAACCCAGUGGACAAGACAACAAUCGGUUGGUUGAAUUUUUGUGCGAUGAGGAAACCCAUAUCCGGCAUGGUCAUCCAUUUAUCACGUGGUGCAUUCCCAAUACCGGCGUAGGAUAGAGCGCCUAAGACCUCUUUAUACCGCCUAUCAUUAUCAAUCAUCGUCCGAUAGCGUGCAUUUUCUACACCGAUAAGCUCUUUGUAAAGGUUGUACCAGACUAAUGUGUGAUCCUCAACAGUCAAGUUAUGUAGGACCGCAACUGCUCGAAACCCACAAUGGCCAUCACCGGGUACAUCUGUAACCUUUUCAAUAAAUUUAUGCAUCCAAAUUAGGAUUUGGUCUUUGUGUGGUAUAUUAACUUUAACCGGUGUUGGCUUGUUCGGGUUUUUUGGAGUUGGCUUAGGAGGAGUAGGUGACAUGUUGCUUUUCCAUGCACUCUUCCUAUUCGUCCCUGUUGAUCUUGUCUGUGAACCUUGUGUCCCUUGCUCCAUGGCAAAGGGGACCACCUUGUCGAUCGAAUGCUUUGCUUAUCUUUCUUAGGAGCUCCUUUGGUGGUGACCUUAUUUGGCGAUGGACGCAUAGAGGUGGUCUCUAGUAAAACAAAUUGCCGGAAUCGUUCCUUCAAAUGCAACUUCAUGUUGUAAUCGGCGUCCUUGAACCGAGCCUGCAAUAUUGUAAGAAAACUGUCAUUCUGGUAUGUGCAUUGAUACAUUUUGGAUUUUAAAAUCCGGAACUCACUUACCUAAUUCAGAAUAUUAAAUCCAGAACUUCCCGAUACACCCUUUGCAUGGGCCUUAAAUGCGCUUGCAUGGGGCGUAAAUGCUACAUUUCGGAUUUUAUAAUCCGUAAGUCAAUAACAUUGUCUGGAGUAUAAAAUCCGGAUUGCACCAGUACAGGAAAUUAAAACAGAAAAUCCUGGGCAGAACCUAAAGUAACACAGUUUUUUUAAAAAAUUACCUGAAGAAUAUCCCAUUCUGGCAAUAGAGAGAUGUCUUCUUUUUUUGGAAGCUUCGGGUCAACCUCGUGCUCGAACCUCAACCUCUUCUAGUGGGUGUGAAUUUCAUCCAAACGGAGGGCGGUUCCGUUUUUUAUCUUCAAACCAAUCAUACAUGCACACAGUAAUCCGUAAGUGAUCAAACUCAAACAACCACAUUUUGAUUUAUCCGUACCAAUUUCAAGUGCUUUAUUGUACUCCACUACGAGAUGAUGUAAAGCUUCCCUUGAAAUUCUCCGGAUCAAAUGAGACCACAACAAUUUUCCUUUGAACCUAUGUUCAAGCAUUAUUAUGCUCGUCUGAAAUGAAGCAUGUAUUGUGGUAUGUUGCAACUCUAGCAUGUUAUUAACGGAUUGCCAGUUUGUACUCAAAUUACCCAUACUACUACUCAGGUACUUUUUCAACCGAGCGAGUGCAGAUUCAACUUUGUUUGUUGUAGUAUUCCCCAUAUGAAGGUUUUUGUCAACCCAAAACCUCACAAACUUCUCCUUAACCAGAUCCAAAAUUGUCUUUUCAACAUAUUCCAAAAAUUAGGUAAAUUUUGCGUAUAGAACUUUGAAUCGGGUCCAAUUAUCAAUAUAUGCUUCCUCCGUGUCGGAGUCCACAAUAUCCGUCCAUGCAGCCAUCACAGUCUUCACCACCGAAGCAGGCUUAAUCGCUUGCCCAUUCUUGCCUUUGAGAUCCGUCACUUUGCAAUCCAAUUUACACUUUGCUCUCACAUUUUGUUCAAUGUGAUAUAGAGCACAACAUAUUUGUAGCUUUAGGGAAAACAUUUUCCACAUCAUUGAUUAAAGCAUUGUCCCGGUCAGUGACAACUACUUUGGGAUAGAGAUCUUUGGAGUGCAACAUCUCACGCCACCUCUCAAGCGCCUAAUAAACAUUGUCUUGCCUCUCAGACAUCAUAUAGGCAAAAUCAAUAGAGAAUGUUUUCAUGGUAGAGUUGUUACCAACAAAAUCAAGCAAUGGAAGACGAUACUUGUUUGUCUUUUAUGUUGAAUCCAAGACAAGCACCAUGGAGAACUUGUUAAACAACUUGAUAGAAUCUGGAUGUGCCCAAAAAACAUCACUGACAACCUCAGAAUCAAGAUACUUCCUACAAUGAUAAACGUAACCAUUAUCAACCAAAGACUUCAAGAGAUGUUGCAUGCCAUUCCUUGUAUCCCUAAUGGACCGCCUAUACCUAUAAGAAGCAUUAUAAACGUGUUUGAUAGUAGUUGAAGUGGUACGGUUCAUCUUCUUUAAGUUGGUAAACAUUUGCCUCGGAGGAACGUUUGAAUCCACCAUCUCUUCAAGGUGAACACGUUCAUUUGGGUUUAGAUGACCGACGGUUUUAUGACCUUUCAGCACAUCUGUCAUGUCAUGGUUGUGUUUGCCAUCACCAACUUUGAGGCUCCAUUCACCACCAGCCAACAAGUAACCUCUCAGCCGAAACGGACACUCGCGUUUAACCGAACCAACUAUCUGGCGCCGACUCUUUCUCUUGUACUCGGUGUAUGAACCUCCCCUUUCACAUAUCAAAGUAACAAAUGCGCUUCUUCCAUUGCCACUGUUAUCGGAUUUACCAAUAACAAUGGAAAAACCAAGCUUCCUAGCUUUCUCUCCAACCCACUUCAACAAAUCAUUCCGUGUUGCAAACUUGUGUUUAGUGGUAAAAUGUUCUCGUUGGUUGAUACAAACAGCAACAAUUGGAGGUGGUACAACAGGAGGAAUAGGAGGAGGAGCAUCCUCUGCUUUCGAACCACCUAGAGAAAUUUCAAGUUUUUGUGGUGGUGGUGGGGGAUUCUCAGAUAUGGCAUUACCGUAAUCAUGCACAUCUUCAAGUAAAAUAAGUGGCAACACAUUAGGAGGUUGAAUCUCAUGUGGAUCAACAUUUGGGGCAUCAACCGGAACAACCAUAUCUGAAAACAAUGCAGGCAUAGUCAGAAAAUGAACACAGUUUUUGUACUGGUGCAGUCCUAAUUUCUAACUCCGGAAUGCAUGAAUCUAGUCCAGAUUGCAUAGUCCGGAAAGGUACAGUACAGAUCAUAUGACGUGAUCAAAAGGAAAUCGCCUAAAAAACGAAUGGGGAAAGGUUUAUAUACACAUUACCUUUGCAUUCAACCGAAAAUGAUGAUGUUAACCCCCCUUGAUGGCCAGAUUGCUGCUCCAAACCAUAUUUUCGCCCUAAAUGGUGUGUUUUUGGAGGUGUUGGGAGUGUUUGUGAUAAAGGUGGUCUGCUUCAGCUAGGUUCUAGAGAACUAUAUAUAACCUAGCUGUCCGGAUUUUAUUUUCCGGAAAAAAAAAAACGACUACUUUUCCCGCUCAAUUUAAAUGUGCGGAAUUUCUAUUCCGGAAAGUAACCAUUGUGUCCGGAUUAUGUUUUCCGAAUAGCCUUUCACCCUCACCAAGCCCAAGUAUCACAUGAAUCAGGGUAAUUUGCUAGCCAUUUUGGAUUAUAGGAUCCGAUUUUUGUCCGGAUUAUACAAUCCGGACAAAGGGUAUUUUGGUCAAAAUUACAGGACGCGCGAGAAGGCUGUAGGGUGGGAAAAGAAACACUCUUCAUGUUAUUUUACAUAUGAGGCUGGUUGUUGCACCAAGUGGACUUGUAGUUAAAAUAGGUGCCCGUUUGAUAUCAAAGAUGAAUCAUGAUGCUGCAACUGUAAGAGUAAAAUUUUGGUCGUUUUGUGUUGUAGGGAUUGGACAUGUUACUAUCUAGUUUGUAAUGUGGAGACAAUGUGUAUAAUACUUACUCUCUCCUUCUUUUACUUUUUUACGUUUCUCUCUUUCUAGUGGUCUAAUAGCAAGGACUAUCACAAUAUUGAACACGUGCAUAGAGAGUGCCUCUCACAUUUAUUGAUCAACUAGGACAAUGUCAAAUGGUUUGAUGAUUUGUAUUCAAUGUCGUGUUAGGUUUCCUUAUUCAUGGCCACCAAAAAAGGGUUUAGGACUUGAGAGGGUGUCGUAGCAAUUUUUGGUGGAGAAAUUAUAUUUGUACAUCUAUUUUGGUACAAUUUUUGUACAACUUUCUCACAUAUGCUCACAUUAUAUUUUUAUUCUCUCUCUUUCUUUAUCUCUCUCUAUUGUUUUUGACCAAUAAAAAGAGAGAACAAAACAAAGUUGUCUCAAAGGUUGUACCAAAAUGAUUGUUAAAAUAUUACUACUCAUAUAUAAGUGGACGAGAAAGUAGUUUAUCAUAUCCCUCCCAAAAUUUACAUUCGGUUUUUGUGAGGCACUUUUUUAUAUAAAAAAAAUAAAAUAAAAAAUAAAAAAAUAAAAAAUAAAGUAUAGGUUAAGUACCAUGAUGGAGCUUAAUAUAAAUUGUGUAUAUUUUUCAAACUUUUGUAUUUACCAUGUCUUGUAUUAAGUAACGGCUUAAAAGAGCAUCGCAUGAUUUACGACCCGUAAACAUAUGUAUCUUUUAGUAAUACACAUUUUACAUCCAUUAACUCGUGUUAAAUAGCAAAUCUAAUGGUUGCAACUCAUUGACAGCUUUGUAAUUUUUAUCCUCGUGGUAAAUAGUAUUGCCCUAAGUAAAGAAACAAUGGAAAAUGUUAUUUUUCUAGAAAAAUAGUAUCAAGAAUUUUUCAAGAUAUAGUUGGCAAGUUUUAAUUGUAUGAUUUAUUUUUUUAUUUUUUAUUUUUCAGCCACAUCUCGUUGAAUUGUGGCAAAUAAUGCAUUGUGAUUGACUGCUCUUUAUAUUCUUGAUGUUAUUUUUCUAGAGAGACAAAAUUUCUAUACUAUUUAUCAUAAAUUUAACUUUCAACCGUGUAGUAGAAAUAUUUUGAUUAUAAUUUGCUUUGUCUAUAUUUAUUUAUUUAUUGUUUUAUGUUGUAAGCACCAAUAAUUAUUGUUGUAUUCCAUUUUCAAAUAAGUCCUUGUAAUUUAAAAAUAUUUAUUUCUUUCAAAGUAUUUAUUUCAAUUUUUAUGAAUAAUUUGUUAACUAUUUAUCAAGUUAUACACUAUAAAAACUCAUGAAUUUUGAAUUUAUAAUAAUAGUUUGAAAGGCAACAUAAUCAAAUUAAUUUUUUGUUACUAUUAAUCUACUAGUUGCCAACAUAUAUUCAAAUAAACACACGUGGAAAAUAAGGUGGUUCGAGUACACAUAAAUUAUCCUCAAGAACAAGUCACUAGACUGUAAAAACGAUAAUAGAUAUAUAAAUCUAACACAAGUGAACGGUAAUUUGAUCAAAUAAAUAUUUAAAAAUUAUUAUAGCGAUUCUACUCAACACUUUUACAUUUAAAAAUACCGAUUGAAAAGUCAAUUUAAAUCUUUUUAUUGAAACUUCAAUAAAAAUAUAAGGAUUUACAGUAAAUAAAAAACGGUCCCUUGUAAUUUAAGAGAUUUGAAGUUAAUCUUUUAAGUUCAAAUCUAUUAUUUUGAAAAUAAAAAAUGAAAAAUUAAUUUAUUUUUGUCUUAUUAAAAUGGGUCCUUCUAAAUUAAAAAUCUAUAUUGAUCCUGGCUGCUGGACACUUGGAAGACCAAACAAAUAAUGUAAGGGUAGGUGAUACACAAUAAAAAAAAAAAAUUAAAAUGAGUUCUUAACACGUAUCAUGAUUGUUUGGUGAAAAGGGUCCCAUACAUGUUGUAGACUUUGUAGCAGGUUCAUUUUCUUAAAUCAUAUCAUGUCUUGUUUCCCUUUUCCUUUCAGUUUUCAUUGUUUAAUUUUUUCAAACAACAAAAUUUGACAUUAACAUUUCAUUGAAUCAAGAAUAUUGCAUUUAAAUCUUUUACGAGUAUAUUAAGAAAUAUAAUUCAAUUAUCUAUGACGAGUUAUAAUCUGUAGUAUAUUAUAUAAAAGUGAGAGAAACAUAUAUUUUGAUGAAGUAGUGUGUCACUUUUAUAAGAUUGUUCUUAAAUCAUCUCUAAAAAGAUUUAGUUUGCAAGAUCUGAUUGAAUUCGUGUGAAAAAGAAAAUUUCACAUGUAGACAAAUUAAAUUUUUUCUUUUUUUGCUUUCGCAUUAAUUUUCGACCCACCAAAAAUGGACGACUAAUCUGACUCAUGCAUAAAGGCAUGCGCACUAGUCAAACGUUGUUCUUUCUAAAAAUCGGACCGAUGUUUUCCAAUACGUCUUUGGAAUGAGCUCCUUACCAUUAAAACUCAAACAACUUAUUUAACAAAAGAAGAAAAUGAUAGUCUAAUUAAAGCAUAAUGUAAUUAAAGCAUCUAAAGAUAAUGGAAAAAUGUGCAUAUAAAAAUGUGUUAGUAGCAGUAACUUCUUUUUACGUACCUAGGGAAUCAAACACAAAAAUCCCGUGUCGGCAACAAUUUUUUUUUUUUUUUAAUGUCAGUAAAGUUGUUUGAAUAUUCAAACUAUAAGACAAAUUCUCUAUAGAAUUUUAAAUGAAUUUAAAAGUAAGUCGGCAAAUUGGUCACCAGCAUCCAAAUUGAAGAAUUAAGGAAUAUAUAUAUAUACUAUUAAUAGUAUUACUAUAUGGGUAUAAGCUAAAUGCAAGAAUUAAGGAAUGUAUGUAUGCAUGUAUAUUCGAGCUAGACAGCUUAUCUCAAUGUGUAAGUGAGGUCAAUUAGAGUAGACAACCAAAUCUUGUUUUUUAUUUAGUAUCAUAUAGUACUAAUUGAUUAGUAACAUUAUUUUAAAAGAAAUUGUUUGGUCUACAUAUAAAUCAAUAUAUACUUAUUCUAUGAUGUAGCCACUUUUUUAACUCAAUAUAAUGUAACAACUUGAGCUAUAUAUAUCUUACUUUUGCCCCAUCUUUCAUUAGUAUGCCUCACCAGCAUCUGAAAUCAUAUGAUAUAAAUUACUCUUGCGUACAUGCACCAAAAAGAUGCUUCCAUGAAUUCCUCCAUGAUUUCUGCAGGUUGAUUUGAGCAUAAAAAGUGUGAAAGAAACCUAAUCUACCUACCCCGGUUUCAUAUUAAGUGAUUUAAUAUACAGAAUUUACGUGUUUGUCUUUCCGCUUUUUUUUUAUUGCACUAACGUGUAGAUUAUCAACGAUGUUUUAUAAAAUUUUGUUUGUAAAUUACAAAUGAUAUUAUAUAUAUAUAUAUAUAUAUAUUAAAGUAUAGAUAAAGAUAUCUGUAAACUACAAAUUUAACAAACUCAAACCAUACUUAUCUUUUUUAAUGACAACAAUAAUAUAACAAAUAAAAUAAAAAUUCUUAUCUUUUUUAAUAACACCAACAAUAUAACAACUAAUAUAUUUUGAUCAUAUUUUCUUUUUUGAUAGAUAAGCGGUAUUAAUGUAAAGAAAAAUAGUAACAUAUAAUAUGUUGGAUUUGUAACUAAAUAUUGUUAAAAUGUCAAUUUUCUAUAACUUUUACUAAUAAAAAAACUAAAAAAAAUAUUAAAUAUCAAAAUUGUGUAUUAGCAUGUAUAAAACAACCAACACUACAAGAAAAACUGCAUUUUGCGACUUUUAAAAUGGCUGAUUGCGACUGUUAGAAGGAUCGCAAAUGUACAAUUGCGACUGUUUUCCAACAGUCGCAGAUGUUGGGGUCGCAAGUGUCUUUUGCGACCCUUCAUAGAACAGCCGCACCAACCGCCGCAAAAGCCACUGCGACAGUUGCCAACAGUCGCAAAUGACGAGAUUCACAUGGAUUUCAAGGGACUUGCAACGGAUGCUAACUGUCGCAAAUGUCUAAUUUAAAAUUUAUAAUUUAAUAUGCUGCGACUGUUUGAACAGUCGCAUAUGUAUAAUUUUUUUUUAAAAAAAGUCACAAUCUCAAAAUAUAAUUUAAUAUGCCCUGAUUUAAAAAAAUUUCGACACUAUUUAAUAUGAGAUGGUGGAAGUAGUUUGGUUUAUUUGAGUUCGACACUAUUUUUUGUGGUGGUCGGGGUUUGAAAUCCGAACCUUGCAUAUUUUAUCUAUUGUCCAUACCAACUGAGCUAAGCUCUCUUCAUACUAUGAUUUACCUCUUUUCAACAUUAUUGGUUAUCUUUAAAAAAGAAAAAACAUUAUUGGAUAAAGUGUUGUUUGCUUGGAAGAACAAAUUUUGGUCUGGGAUAUCUUAAAAUUCUAAAAGAAUAUCCACACCCAAAAGCUUGAUUUGAAAGGCAACUAUUUGGCCAAUGUUAGGCUCUGUUUGAUAAAAAUAGCGAAUAAUUGAUAAGCUAGCUUUUAGCUGAUAGCUUAUAACUGAUGACUGAUAGCUGAUAAGCUAACUGAAGUGUUUGGUAAAAAUAGUGGUUCAACUAUCUGAUAAAUGUAAAAUGAUAUAAAGGGUAUUCUUAAUUCAUAAUAAAAAUUAUAUCAAUUAAUAUUUAAGUAUUAGUAAUUUUGUAAACUAAUUUUUCUUUAAAAAAAAAUACUUUAAAUUUAUUAAUUUAAUAUAUCCUAUGUAUUAUAAAUUAAAUUAAAUUUUAUUCCCUAAAAUUUUAUCCUAUAUUUAUUAUCAUUUAAGUGUUUCCACUUUAUAAAGAACAUAACACUUACCUCAAAAAAAAAAAAAAAAAAAAGUUAACACUAAUAGAGUAAUACUAAUGAAGUAACACUAACAGAGAAUAAAGAAAAUAACACUUACCUCAAAAAAAUAAAAAUAAAAAGUAACACUAAUAGAGUAAUAGUAUUUUGUUCCGUAAAAAAAACGAAGGUAUAUAUUUUUUCAAAACAAAAAAAAAGGUCAUAUAAAAAAGUUGCAAUAAAUGGAUAGUAGUAUUUAUUACGUAGCUUAUUAUAAUAAAUUGUAAUCGAAUUUAAAUGAAAUAAUAAGGGUAAAAUUGAAAGAAAAAGUGAGAAGUUAUAAGCUUAAACGCUACUUGAAAUAGCGUCUGAAAAAUAGUUUAUAAGCUCGUAAAAUAAGCUAUAAGCUCGUGGUGAAAAGACAUUACCAAACAGAGCUUUUUUUGCCAAACAAGCUUAUAAGCUAUAAGCUAUGAGCUCAUUUUUGGGUCUUACCAAAUAGACCCUAAACCUAAUUAAUUUUUUUGGUCUUGUUAACGAGUGUCCCCGGGACACUUUUUAAGGAUUCCAAAAAAAUAUAUUAUUUUAUAAAAAAGUUAAAUAUUCCGAUUUCUGAUGCAAUGAUUACACACAUUUUCAUGAUAAAUUACCAUUUAAAGCUCUUAACUAGUGCCUCGGGGCAGUGGUUAACAUUUCCUUUUUUUUUAGUGUAUCAUACAUGUUAGAGUAAAUGGUCACUUUGAUCCUUGACUUUGCAUCUCGUUGUCACAAAGAUCUCUAACUCAGGAUUAAAUAUAAAGUAGUUUAUGAAUAUGCACUUCCGUUAUCAUUUUAGUCUCUGUCUUUAAAUAAUUUUGUUCAUUGAUGUUGUGGCAAAGGUUUUAUGCUAACAAGGGGUACAAUGUGUCACAUGAACUAAAAUGAAAGUAGAAAAUUGUCACUUUGCUCCCUGAACUGAAAAUCAAUAUCCCUGAAAAUUAAUAUCCCUGAACCGGAAAUUAAUAUCCCCAAACUCGUACCAACUAAGUGUUGCUCUUUGUCAAGAACCAAAUCAUCUUCCUCGAUGAAGUUGUUCCGUGGUUGCAGAAGACUCGUUGUUAGGUCCCUAUGAAUACUUACUAUAAGUUAGGUUCUUGACAGCAAACACUUACUGUCACUAAGAUCCCUGAUAGUAAAACUUAUAGACACAAAGUAAGCCUACUAUGAUCCUAAUUUAUAUCAAUUUAUCAAUUUUAUCAAUAUGAAAAAUUGUUUCAAGCUUUUAGAUCUGGUUAUGAAUCACAUUUUCCCAAAUUUUGUAUUUGUAUAUCUUGAAUUCCUUCAUAGUUUCUUCUUUUUAAUCUCGAUGUUAACUUCAAAUUAUACUAUUUCAUUUUAUAAGAAAGAUUAUUAGCUUCAAGAAUACCAAUUCAACCAAACUUCAAUUGAUUAUUUAUAAAUGGGUUUUGUUAGAAGACACCUUUUAUGAAGGUGUCUUUUAGCAAGUUAUUCUAUUAGCAAUUGGUAAAAGACAUCAACUAAUUUUUAUGAGGUGUCUUUUAACAAAGUUAUAACUAAAAAGUGAAAAUCACACCUUAAGGUGUGAGUUGCUAAAAGACACCUUCAUAGAUUGCUUCUAGCAUAACCCUUUACAAAUAUUGUCCUAACAUAUUUAUUUGAGCAUGUGCAUUUUUGCGGUAUGAUUCCUUAACAGAAACUUAAGCCACUUGAUUCGGUAUUUGUUUUUAUAUUAGCUAUUAUAAUAAUCACCGAUAUAACUUCAAACUUGUUGUCACAUUUCAGCUCAUAUUUUGCCUUUGUUGUCACAUUUUUAGGUAUGGUGUGUGUUCAUGGAAUAAGGUAUAGUCAUUGCAUAGAAGCAUGAUAAAUUGUUAUAUGCGUGGAAUAACAACCAUUGUGUGGAAGCAUGAAAAAUAUUGUGUAUCUGUAAGUGUUUACUAUUAGGGACUUUAGUGACGGUAAGUGUUUAUUGUCAAGGACCUAACUGAUAGUAAGUAUACACAGUUAGAGAUCUAACAACAAGUCUCCCGCAACCAUAGAACAACUUCAUCGAAGAAGAUGACCAAGUUCCUCAAGAACAACACUUUGUUGGAACGAGUUUGGAGAUAUUGAUUUUCGGUUCAAGAACCAAAGUGACAAUUUUCUACUUUCACUUUAGUCAGUGUGACACCUCAUAUACCCUUUGUCAGCAUAAGACUUUUGUCACGUCAUCUUUUAAUAAAAUUAUUUAACGUCAGAGACUAAAGUGAUAAUGGAAGUGCACAUUCAGGGAUUACAUCGACCUUUGUGAAUGUGAGGUGUAGAGUUAGGGACCAAAGUGACCAUUUACUCUACAUUUUAUUCUAGACUAAUUUUAAUGUAAAACUUUAAAAAAAAAGUUUAUGGAUUUAAUAAAAUAGCAUUUUUGUGGAGAAAAAAAAUUAGGAUGAACUUUAAUAGAAAUGCCGGUAAUUUAAUUCACCUUUGGACGCUUUCAAGGCCGUAUCUGAGACAAUGCGAGAAGGGCGACCGUUCUCGACCCUAAAAAGUAAAUUUAAAAUUUGGGCCCUAAAACAUAAAAUGAAGGAUUCAUUAAGUAGAAAAAUAUUAGAGAAUGCUUAAAUCAUAUACAUUUUAAUCGAAAAAUGACAUAUUAGAAAAUUGAAUAUCAUAUUUUCUAACGUAAUAAAAUAUAAUUUUCAAAAAAAUUAUUUUCACACUUCAAAAAUUCAAUUUUUUUAUACUAAUUAGGUAGGGCCCAUAUUAUAAGUUCGCCCGUAGACCACCAGAAAUGGCAUUGGACGCUUUAUUCUUUGAUAGAAAACAAGUUAGCAUGUAACAUCAAGUAAUUCAACUGAAGCUAUAUUAAUAAAAUUUGUUAAAAUUCGAAUCAACCGAGAAUGCUUGAUCGGCUCGACCAUUAACUUGAAUAAUGUUUAUAAGCCUUUAUUUACUUUUUAGCGAAGCUUUAGAUUAUAAGUGUUCAUUUACUCUCUGAGUUGAAGAUUAAUGUAUAAUAAUUGAAAAAGAAGCAAGUAAAAAACAGUUCUUAUGACCAUAUGAUAUGAUAAUUUCAUACAAAUAUUGAUUAUAUUAAUUUAAUAAAAAGUAAAUCUUAACUAACUUUACAAUUUUAAUUUUAUUAUAUGAAGUAAAAGUAACAAAAAAAAAAGAUCGUAAUCAAUGAGUCUCUAACUUGUCUAUUUAUUUAUUCUGCAAACUACUAUUUUAUUAAUAGAAAAGGAAAUUAGCCCUACAAAAAACUUGUGAGUUUUUCUACUUGCACCCUAGUUAAUCAUGGUUGCACCCCAAAAUGAUAAGAUUACCCUUUCAUAAAAUUUGAUUUUCAAAAAGCCUAUUCCUUCUUUUUUGGUUACACCCCAAAACCCUUCUUCCAAAACCAUAAUUCUCUAAUCGAUCGAUUGUGUUCUGCGAAGAUUUUCAAAACCAUACUUUCUCACGUCCAUUCAUGAUUUCAAAGAAAAUUCGAAGCAAAUCAGGUUAGCAAGUGUUGUUCUUCAAUCGAUUGUGUUUUUCUUGUUAUGGGUUCUCAGUUCUGAUUUUGUGUUUUCCUUGUUUUGCGAUUCACAGUUCUGCGAUUUUGUAAAAAAUCAGUUUGAGUAGGUUCAUGUAAACUCAGUUUAAGUAGGUUCAUAUAAACUCAGUUUAAGUAGGUUCAUGUAAACUCAGUUUAAGUAGGUUCAUGUUAACUCAGUUUAAGUAGGUUCAUGUAAACUCAGUUUAAGUUUACAUGAACCUACUUAAACUGAAUUUAAGUUAACCUUGCCAAUGUAAAUUAAAACCGUAAUCGUACAGUGCAUCAUUGCAGUUGAAGGAAAAAAAAUUGAAACUAGCAAAUAGAAGAAGAAAUUCACUUACUUAUAUCCAAUUGAGUAUGGAUGAAAAAUAUUUUAAUUCACUCUUUAAUUUUUAUGGAGAUUGAUAUUGAACAUCAAAUUGUUUGAUCGAUCGCUUUGUGGGGUGAAAGAGGGUGAAACUCACUGACAAUGAAUAAAAUUAGGGUUUUAAAAAAAUUUAUAUAAAAGGGCAAUUUUGAUAUUAUAAAAAAAAUUUAAGAAAAUUUGGGUGUAACCAGAAAAACAUGGGAUGUAAAUAGAAAAACUCAAAACUUAUUCGUUUAUUUUUUAUUUUUUUUAUUUAGCUACAUUUUAAUAAUAUCCAUCAUAAUUUUGCCAAAAAAGGGACUCAUGAAAAGGAAAUUUGAGAACAAAAGACAAAUCCAAAUCUCAACAUCCCAAAGUCCACCAACCCCAUAUGGGUCAAGUGGCAACUUAACAGAAGGAUGCGUUAGGUUGUAGGGUCUUUGCCAUGUUUCAAUAAUGUUUGUGAUAAUAUGUGUCCAAAGAUGUUAGGAAAAUCAGAGAAGCGACAAGAUUGCCACAAUUUUAAUUUCAAUAAAUGUUUUGCUAUCGAGUGUUGGUGUAUUUUUUAAAUAUUUAAAAUUAAGAAAAAUAUAUAUAUUUUUUAAAUUAAAUACUUUAAUUUAUAAUGUAUUGAAUAUACGAUUUAAAAAGAACUUCCUUUUUAAACUUCUUUAAAAAAUAUUAUAGAAAUACUCGUUAAUAUUUACCUUUCAAUUUCAAUAAUAGAAAAAGACAUACUAAUAAUGAGGCCACGAAUUCUCACUUGAAUUUAAGCUUUUGAGAUAUGAAUUAAUUUUACAUAUGUAGUAAUGUAUUAUAAUCAUUAAGUUCGAUGGCUAUCUAGGAGGAAACAACAUAUUCACUUUAUAUUUAAAAAAAUGAUAUUUGUACAUUUAUUUUAUAAUAAUUUUUGUGACAACUUUCUCUCUCAUAUUCACGUUAUAUUUUUACUUUAUUUCUUUAUUGUUUUGGUUUUCGUACCAAUACAUACAUUUCUUUGUAAAAAUAUGAUUGUCACAUAGGUUGUAAAAAAAAAAUAGAUGUUCAAAUAACACAACUCUUAUAUUUAAGCUUUUGAGAUAGAGUGAAAAUAAUAUGGAAAAUUAUCUUUAUACAUCUAUGUUCAAUCUACACUAUGAAAGAGAUCGAUAGAAAAAGAAUGGUGUAAUAUGAUAAGAGAUAUAGAGAGAAAAUGAGAUUAAAAUGAGUGUUUGAGAAUUAUAAGUGUACAAAUUUAAGGGAUUUCAAGGACUUCAACAUACUGUAUGUAUAUACUUGAUAUUAUUGCAAUUAUUAUGGUUGAUCAAUGUCAUCAAUAUUACCAACCAAAAUGUUAUCUUAAGUGCUAGCUCUAGUAUCAUGUUAAUAAACUUCCACUACUAGUUCACAUACUGUAUUUUCCAACAUAUGGUGACUUGUGGAAUUAAAUGGACUCGGAUGCUAUUUUAAAUUUAUGUCAAAUCUAACUCAUUUCUUACGAAAUUAAUUUGAAAGAUUAAAGUGAUCUUACAUGUAAACUCAUUUUCAAUGAGACUCUACAAAACUAAACAUGGAGGUGUCAAACUCAAGUAAGACUUGUAGGUGUGAUUAUCAUUUUGUAGAAAUUAAUUCCCAUGCCAGCUAAAAGUCAUUUGAACAUCAUCUCAGGAUAUAAAUUAAUUAUGAAUGGCCUGCCGAUAAUGACUUUGAUUAAUUAUAACACUCAUAGCGACUUAUGUAUCAAAUCAUUCAUUCAAUUCAAUUUAAAAACAUGGAGAAAAUUAUAUUCUUUUAUGGAACAAAAAUAAUGUUUAUGGAGCUAAGAUAGCAUUUCACGAGUUUCCCACAUUCCCUGUCGGGUUUCUAGCAACCACCCUUUUGAUUUGUGACCGCCAAAUUUUGAACAACAAGAAGAUGAAAAUAAUUUGGUCAACAAAAAAAAAAAGAAAUUAAUAAAAAGUUUAUUUGUAAAAAUUAAAUUAUAUAAGCCCGUACACAAAUUAAAAAAAAAAAAAAUAAAAAAAAAAACAAUUCAAUGGCUGAGAGAAGGAGAGAAUGUUUGACAGAUAUUUAUUUAAUUUUUUAUGAUUAUUUUAGUCUCUCAAGAUCAUCCUAUAUUGUAAACAAAAUCAUAUAGUCCUAUCUUCUCAUUUUUAUCAAAAAAUAAAAAAGUUUAAAACUUUCGAUUUGAUAAAAUCAUUUUUGAAGUUCAAAAGUUUUUUAUGUAGUAAAAUUAUAUUUUAAUUAAUAAAACUUUUUUUUUUGAAAGAAAUUAAUAAAACUUAAUUGCUUUAUAAAAUGUGAUAUUAAAAUUUGAAGAGUUCAAUUUUUAUUACUUGUUGUGAAUUAUUUUAUAUAAAAGUUCCACAAUUUUUUUUUUUUAAAAAAACCACAAUUUUUUUUUUUUUUAUAAUGAAGAUUUCCAACUUUUAAUUAAAUGAGAAGUUCCAAUCCCCAUAAGCUUAACUCAGAUAGUAUAGAUAAUGUAUGUUAUAUGCAAGGUUCAAGGUUCAAACCACGACCACCAAAAAAAAAAAAAAACAGAGAAGUUCCACGUAUCUAUUUUACAUUAUCAGUCCUUAAAUAAUACUUUGUUUUAUUAUAUAAUCUUGGAUGGGAUUUAGUUUAGUUGAAGUUCAGUAUUAAUCAUAAGCAUGCAAGGCGGUUCCCGAUAAUUUAGAGGUCCAAUUGUAAUUUUGAUAAUUUUUGUUUAAAAAGAAUUGAUAAAAAAAAAAUCCAUCAUCAUUUAUAAUGAUAAAUAAUUAAGUUGUAGUUAAAUACAUGAGUAUAUGUUCAAACAUGACUUUUACUUACAGACAAUCAAACACUUACAUAUGAGCAAUGAAUACUUGAUGGCAAAAUUGUUGUCUUUCAGACUUUCAUCUCCGAAAAAUGAGAUUUAUUGACUAAUUUUGUCCGUAAGUAAAAGUGUUGUUUUUUAUUUUACUCACCCUGAAAAUUGUACCCCAUCCCUACAAAUAUUUGAGACCUCUGUAAAUUAGAGGUUCGACUUCAUAGAGCUCCUUGCUCUUGUCCAAGAACGAGCAUGUAAGCAUGAAGAGGCAUAUAUGUUUAUUUUAUCAUAUAUAAUUAUAUAUUUAUAAAAAUAAGUUUGUAAAUAGUUGGAGGGUAUCGAGUCAAUAAAGGUUGAAGUCAAUGCUCAUUUUAUAGACAAAACUAUCUCUAUAGGUCAAAACAAAAUGACCUACAACUUAUUUGCAUGAGUUAUGUUCUGUGUUAUUUUCCCUCGUUGAGGUCCCUACAUUUGAUUGACAACUUCCCACUUUAUGUCAUGAUCCGUUGACAAGAACUAUAAUAUGCAUCUUUUCUUAAAAACAUGCUAACUUACUCACGCUAUUUACGAUUAGCGACGCUAUAAAAAGAAAGUAUGAGUUUAACGUCGCAUUGUCAAAUUCUACCGAGCAUUUAUACAAUACGAUGUCUUCCAGACUCACAUGUUAGUUAGUUGACUCGAGAAAAAUUUGAAUAACCUCAUUCGACUGCAAUAACACUCUCGCUUAAUCUUUCACUAAUUGAGGAAACUCAUCAAACUUUUAAUCUCAUAUAAGCAAUUUCGAUUAGCAAAGUAAUAACUUUGGGAUCUUUAAUUUGUGCUCUUAAAAAACUAUUACAUUUUUUAUGAAAGAUAUUAACAUUCUUCAUAAAAGAUAUGUUGUUUAUUAUUCAUGAAUAUUUCGGGUUGGUUCCACAUUCUCACUCUAAAAAUGUACUCCAAAAUUCUACAAAUGUACUCCAAAGUUCUACUCUAGUUGGUAAAUAACAGAAUAUAAUUUAUCACCGACACCGAUACCGCUUGCUUCUCUUUCAUUCAACAUAUUCAACAUCUUGAGAAUUUGACAUAUAUGCAUUGAUUGAGAAACACAAUAAUUUAUUCAAAUGCUCACAGUUAACUGCUGAAUUAUGGAACCGGUUACAAUUAACUACCGGAGGAAAACUUCGGCAGUAAACUACCGAGAAAAACUAAAAACUUCGGCAGUUAACUGCCGAUGACACCUCAAACAUGUUUUUCUUUUGUUGACAAAAACCAUAAAUUGUCAUUAAUAAUAUUUAUUGAUUUCGAAUGUUUCAAUCAUUAUUUUAGUACGUUUCAAACAAUUGCAAUAUUAUAUUUAUGCGUAUAUAUUUUAAUAAGAAUAACAUUAAAUCAGUGUAAAAAUUAAGCAUUUGAAUAUUGUUUUGCACAUUACUUAAAUAAAAAUAAUAAUAAAAAAAUCGUUAAAAUAAUUGUGCACAACGAUUUUUUUAAAGUAUAAUAUGUUGUUAUAUUUUCUACAUUAAAAUAAUUCUGCACAAAUAUUUUUUUUUUAUUUAAGUAAUUUGCAAAACAAUAUUCAAAUGCUUAAUUUUUACGUUUAUUAAAAUAUAUUUUGAGUAAUGCUCUUUAUAUUUUUCAAGACAAAUAUAACAACACCUUUACAUUGGCUUGGUAAGAAAACAGAGGUAAGUUAUGUCACAUCAAAAAAUAUCCUAUACUUGGUGUGUUACUAACCAGACUCACAUGUAUUUAUGUUGGUGGAUUAAACUCAAUUAAAAUAAUUCAAAUUAUUAUAUGUUUUUAGUAAAAUGCCUAUGACCCUAUAUUUAACUUAUUAAAUCGCAAAACAGCUGUUGUAAAAAGUCUAGAAAUACAAUAAUAUAACUUCUCAUAAUUUAUAUUACUAUAUAAUUUGUCGUACAACCCCUGCAAACGCAACAGGCUAAAGACUACACAUCAUCAACAUUUGCAUGUACUAUUGAUUGUACAUGUCAUGGACCAUAGCAGAACAGUGCUGCUUUACAACUGUCAAAAUAUAAAAGCUAAACUCAUAAUUCAUCAUUCAUAAUUCAUAAUAUAAUACAUAAACAAAAGCAAUCCUAUCAUAGAAACAGAAUAUAAUAAAUUAACACUUUUUUGUGAAGACAAAAUGCGGAAACUUUGCUUCCAUUUUUCUCUUUCGUGUAUUAUUAUUUUAUCAAGUGCGCUCUUCUUCCUUUUCCAUCGCUUUCUUUAUUUUUCAAAUAUUCUUCAUUCAUAUAUAGCCUACAAAAAUAUAAAACAUGCAGUUAUUAUUAUUAGUCAGUCAAUGUCACUAAUUAUAUGGUCCCUCACCUAAAUCUAAACGAGAAAAAUAUUUAUUAUUUAUCCGUAAAAAGUUGAUGUAGACCAUACACCACUUUGCUCAUAUUACUAGAAUAGUCAAAUUUUGCCAAAAGCAUGUAAACACAUUUUGAAGGGUUGAAUCAUGAAUAUUGAAUACUCACCGGUUCUCUUAAGUCAUUUAUCUGAUUAUGGAUAUUUUUGUUUAAGUUUCCAAAUGAAAUGAUAAAUUAUUAAUAAUUAGUUUACUCAAUGGCAAUAUGUGUCAAAAAUCAUUUGUUAUUUUCCAAAAUCGUUCACUCAUAAUUAAAUUAUUUUAUUCUUUACACCAUUCCCAUUAAUCCUUACAUGAGACAGAAAAAUUAAAGUAUAUAAGAGUAUUUUUGUCAGUAGAUAGUUAAUGUAUAAUGUGUCUCAUAAAUAAUUGACAGACAAAUAUUAAAAAGAAAUAUUAUAUUAUAUUAUAUUUAAUGAUGGAGGAAUUACACUGCAAUACGAAGGUGACGAAAUAAAUUAUGCGAUAAUAAUAUUGUAGAGGAGAUUAAAUAAAAAAGCUUACAUGCAUAGAGAUAUGGUAAAUCGACCACUAUCUAAGAGUGGUAAGGAGGGGGUGGAGAUGCAUAGAUGUAACUGUGAACUGGUGGUGGAGGAGAGUGAUAAACUGGGUGUGGAGUGUAGGGAGGAUGAACUGGUGGAGAGUGGUAAACUGGUUUUGGAGUGUAAGGAGGGUGAACUGGUGGUGGAGGGGAUGAGUAUUUGUAUGGCUUCUUUGGUGGUGGUGGAGAGUGGUAGUAGGGCUUAGGGCUGACGUGAUGCACUGGUGGAGGAGGAGAGGAAUAUUUGUAUGGCUUCUUUGGUGGUGGUGGGGAAUGGUAGUAAGGUUUAGGGCUUAACAUGCACUGGUGGUGGAGGAGAAGAAUAUUUGUAUGGUUUCUUUGGGGGUGGUGGAGAAUGGUAGUAAGGUUUAGGGUGGACAUAUGGUGGAGGAGGAGAAGAAUACUUGUAAGGUUUCUUUGGUGGUGGUGGUGGUGAACUGUAAUGGUAGGGAGGAGGAGGUGUAUAAACGGUGGGGGUGGAGAGUGGUAGUAGUAUGGUUUCUUAGGUGGUGAGUACACUGGUGGUGGUGGUGAAGAGUAAUGGUAAGGUGGUUUAACUGGAGGGUACACCCCCGGUGGUGGGGAAUGUGGAGGGUACACCUUAGGUGGUGGUGGAGAACUAUAAUGGUAAGGUGGUGAGACUGGUGGAUACACCUCAGGUGGUGGUGAAUGUGGAGGGUAUUUCUUAGGUGGUGGUGGGGAAGAGUAAUGGUAAGGUGGUUUAACUGGUGGGUACACCUUGGGUGGUGGUGAAUGUGGAGGGUACACCUUAGGAGGUGGUGGUGAAGAGUAAUGGUAAGGUGGUGAAACUGGAGGAUACACCUUAGGUGGUGGUGAAUGAGGAGGAUACUUCUUAGGUGGUGGUGGUGAAGAGUAAUGGUAAGGUGGUGAAACUGGAGGGUACACCUUAGGUGGUGGUGAAUGUGGAGGGUACACCUUAGGUGGUGGUGGUGAAGGGUAGUGGUAAGGUGGGGAAACUGGAGGGUAGACCUUAGAAGGUGGAGGAGGUGAAGAAUACAAGUAGCUGUUUGCUGAAAUUUGAGAUGUAUGGAGAGAGACACUAUUAUGGCUAAUAGAAGAGUCAAAGUGGCAGAGGCCAUUGGAGACCUCAUUUUUUUUUUUUUGUUCUCUUGUUGCCUUAACCUCACUAGAUAGUGGGAUUUUGAUAUGCUAUAAUGUAACCAAGUGAUGCCCUUUAUAUAGAUCUUUUAUUUACCUACUAGUACUAAUCAUGUUGGUUGGUAACUUUGUUUUCAACUUGUCAAAAUUUUGUUGCCAAUAAGGCGUUGCCGUAUCUUUUUUUAAUUAAAAGUCAAUAAUAUUCAAACACAAGUUUUCAUUAAACAAAAACUAACUUACUUUUCUGAAUAGGUUGAUUUAAUUGGAAAAAAGGGAGGAUAAUUUAUACAAAAAGAGAAGUUGUAUUCCCUAUAUUCGGUAUCAUAAAAAGAAGAGAAACAAUUAUUAAAGCAAAUUUUGGUUAUUUUAUUUUAAUCAAUUUUUUAAAAUUAUUAAAAUGGACAGUGUUUAAUUAAACCAUUUUUUACCUCAAUAUCCCAAGUGAGCUUUGGAGUGCGUAUUUGGAUUUGAUGUAGGCUGCAAGCUUUUAGCAGGAAAUAAAAUAUCUUGAAAUAUCUCAAAAUAAAACAAAAUGGACAGAAAUCCGUAAGUGUAGUUCAGUUGAUAGCUACCAGAGAUAAUGUUUAUAAGGGUUGGGGUUCAAAUCCCAAAUUCCCCACACUAGACUAUUGAAAAAAAAAAAAAAAAAAAAGACAGAAAAUAUAAAAUGUGUUAAAUUGAUGUAGAUUAUUGGAGGUGUUAAAAAAUCAUCAUUGUAUUCUAAUGCCUAAUUUAUCUUCUCCACAUAUCUUUUACUGUUCUUGAAAAAUGCAUGCAUAGAGACCUAACUUCGUGCUAUAUUCGUCUGUCCCUUGAAGACUUUUCAAAAAGACUCGUACACCAGGGCCCAUAUGCAUGGCAUAGCAGCCUCAAUUAUAGGACGAUAAUUUUACGUGAAAUUUUUAUUAUUACUUUAUACAAAUAUUUAUUUAUUUAUUAAAAUUUUACAUAUUUACUUUUUUAAAGUAUAGACAGAAAUUUUUUCAUUUAAGUAAAAUUAAUUUCGAUGUUAUUAAUUCAUUUCCUUUCAUCCUAUCAAAUUAAUGAAUACUAUCCUUGUUGGUAGGCAGAGUCUAGAAUAUUCUAGAUUAGUAUAUACACUUCUAGCUACCUAUCACAAAUUUUGCAUGCAUUUAAAUGAUUUAUCAUGGCAUCGUCUCAGGCUUGGUCCUUUUCAGAUAAAGACAAAAGUUAUGUCUCUGUUUACUUUUAAGCCAAAGUUUUUUUUUACUCUUGUGUAAAGUAAAGUAUAUGACUUUUGAUAUACGGAUAGGAUUCUGGGUUCAAUUGGAUAUAAUUUACCCCGAGGUAUAUAACUAUUUUCUUAUAUUGUUGUUGCUUUUCUAAAACUAUCAAUAAUGAAAGAGAAAUGAUAUUUGUACAACCAUUUUUUAUAAUUUUUAGAUAAAAAUUUCUCUUUCAUAUUCACAUUAUAUUCUUACCCUCUCUCUUCCUUUUUCUCUCUCCUUUGUUUUUAACCAAUGAAAAAAGAGAAAAAGAAGGUUGUCAAAAAGGUUGUACCAAAUGGUUGUUCAAAUAUCAUUGCUCUAAUGGAAAGGUCUUAAUAUCAUCUUUAUUUAGUCUCGUUUUGGAAAAGUGAUUUAAAAUCUGAUCCGAUCAUAACGAUUUUUACAUAAUAACAUAGAAACGCAUAAAAAAAAUAUUCGAUUUUUUAUGAUUUUUUUGUUUUUUGAUCGAUUUGCAGUUUUAUUUUGAAUCGGCUUGUAUUUGAACACCCCUACUUCUUACUCAUCCACACAAGGUAACUCGAAUCAAGGUUGAGAAGAAUAAUUAUUUGUUGAAUCUACCAUUUGUGGUGGACUAAUCUUUUAAAUUUCUCGUAAUAGUUCUUUUUACUUUCAUUCAGGUAUUCCUUAUCUGUUUCUGAUGUAACUUGAUUUUUCUCUUUGCUUCUCUCUAGUAUACUUUGUGUAGGGCAAGAAGUAAAGAGGUUUAGUUAUGGAAAUUCCAUAUUAGCUUUUUUAAAAUAAAAAAAAAUAGAACAAUUUGUUUCACCAUUUAAUUUUUAUAAUUAUAUUAUAAAUAGAGAGAUUAAAGUAAAGUUGACUAAAAAAUUCGAGUAGCUAAUAAGCUCGUACUUCCUCUAAUUCUUAUUAUACGAGAAAAUUUGUUUUUCAGAUUCAUUCACUAAAUAAUGUACCAUGUUUCUAAUAUAAAAUAAAUACAUCAUUUAUUGAAUCUAAAAAAUCAACUUUCUUUGAUAAUUGAGACCCAGGGUAGAACAUGGCAAGGGUUGAUUAUAGAAAAAUGCUAAAGAGUGUCUACACUUAAAAUGGUAAGAAAUUUUGAAAAUCUAUAUAACUAUUGCAUUAGAAAUAAAACUCUUUGACUUUUUAAUGAAUUUCUAAAUUAUAAAUUAUUAAAAAAUGUCAUAGAGACACUUGUUAGCGAUAUGAUCUGUUAUACUCUAUAGGUCGCGUCCUUUUUUUUUUUUUUGACAAGUGGGUCGCGUACCUAUUCUUAAUCAAUCAAAAAUAUGUUGGAUAACAUAUUUAAUUCACCGUUGAACAAGAAUAAUGUUUUUUUAUUUAUUGUAUCAAAGAAUAAUGUAUUUUAUUCACCGUACUAAUAUUAUAAAAAAAAAUAAAAAAAAUCGACCGUCGUUCUUUUAAUUUUUCUGUCCUAAAAAAAUACUCAGUUUAAACGAGCAAGCAUAUAUUUUCAAUAUCUAAUUUUUUUCUCAAUUUAUAUUCCACUCAUAUCAUAUCAUAUAAUAUACUUAUUUUUGGUCAAAAAAAAUAUAAUAUACUUAUUUAUAACAUUAAUCACAUCGUUGACUUAUUUCUUUCUCUUUCAAGAUACUGAGGAGAUUUUCUUUAUAAAAAAAAAAAAAAAAAAAUCCAUAUUGAGGAGAUGUAUGCAUAUGUACACAAAUCAUUAAAAGUGUAAUUGAGUUGUGUAAAACACAAAAAACUGCAGAGAUGGGAACAAAUAAAUUAAUAGAAACGGCAGCUUAGUUCAUGCUCUUACAUCAGUAAAAAAUUAGGUGGGAGUUAUUAUUUUUCCACAGAUUAGCAUAUAUAUACCCCACAGGUCCAUAUCAUUUUUCCCCUUAAAAAAAGUCCAUGUUACUUUUGUUUCAAUGUAUCCAAACUAGGAAAAGUCCGGAAAAUUAGAUUUUACCUAGGCAACAACACAUCACCAUUAAUUAUUUUUUCCAUUUUUUUAGUUUUCCAUGUUUUAAGAUUUUUUAUCUUUACUAAAAGAAUCAAUAAAUUCUAAUAUCUAUCUCAUUACACCUAUUUUUUUGUUACAUGAGAUAAAAAAGAACAAAGACACAAAAAAAUGAAAAGAAAAAAAUUAUGCCCUAAUAAAGUACACAUCAACCUUAUCCCCGUGAGCUUAACUCAGUUGGUAGGGAUAUUGCAUAUUAUAUGCAAGGGCCGGGGUUCGAACCCCGGACACCCCACUUCUCCACAAUUAAAUUGUGUGAACUCUAGCCACUAGACUACUUGACCAAAAAAAAAGUACACAUCAACCGUGUCAAGUAAUAAAUUAAGCCCUAAUAAGAAGAAAAAAAAAACAAAAAAUUAAGCCCUAAUAAAUUCCAAUAUCUCAUCACAACUAUUUUUUACGAGGGAAACAUGUCUAAUGUAGAUAAAAUAUAAUUGGUGCAAGUUUGUGAAUUUAGAUUAUGUUUUUUAAGAAGGUAAACUAAAUUAUCAAAAUUGACAUAAAAGAUAAUCAAACAUGAGACUCGAAAUAUACUUUCACAGUUUUUAAAAUUUCAAUUCAAAUUUAGAUUAUAUUCGAUUACAUCUAGAUCACAAAAGUAUAAAUUGAAAAAAUAUAAAAAAAAAAAAAAAAAAACUUUCUAAGAGCAUUACAACUUUAAUGUUAGAGGUGGCCUUUAAUUUGUUUAACCGUGUGUAGUUUUUGUUUUGUUUCGUUUUUGUUUGUUUUUCAUCCUUUUAUUUUGGGUUAGAUUUUUCUUCUCCUUGUAUUUUUUUUUUCUCAUUUAUUUUGAUAUAUUUUAAAAUUAUAAAGAACAACAGCAAUAAUAAUAAAUUAAUUGCCCUUAAAACAUUUUAAAACCGUCACUAGCAAGUUAAGGGAAGUCACCAACCACACAAUAAUGACCCUUAGGAUAGUUUAUUGAUUUAAGUCAUCAGAAGUAAGAAGAAAGAAGAAAGGGAAGGCACCAACCCAAACAAUGAUAUUCGAUGAUCAUGACUAAAAAAGGUUUAACUUUCAUAUCCAACCCCUGCAUAUGCAUAUGCUUGACUUUAAUAUUGGGAUAUGAUCCAAUAUUUUGCAUCAUGCAUAAGUUAUUUUUUUCAUCGUUAGAUAAAAAAAAUGUCACACCAUUGCACCAAAAAAAAUCACAUUAAAUUUAAGGGUUAAAUAUGUUAUUGGUCCCUAUAAAUAUACCAAUUUUUCGUUUUAGUCUCUCUAAAAUUUUCCUUCAACUUUUAGUCCCUAAAAAAUUUUCCAUCUUCACUUUUGGUCCUUCUUUUAAAGUAAACUCAUAUGUAGAAUUCAUAUUUUUGAAUCAAAUUUUUCAGAAAAAUUCAUAAUAUUAUAAGAAUCUCUCCCAAAAAAAUUAGAACUUUUUAACAAAACAUGAAUUUAAUAUGAAUUUUUAUAUUAUUUAUGGUUAAAAAUUCAUAUAUAAUUUAUGUUUACUUAAAAAAUUCUAAUUUUUUUUUUGAAAUGUUUUUACAAUAUUCUACACAUUUGUGUACAAUUUCAUUAAAAAAAAAAUACUAAAAUUUACUUUGAAAUAGGGACCAAAAGUAGUGACUCAAAAUUUUACAGGGACUAAAAGUUGAAGGAAAAUUUAAGAGGGACUAAAACGAAAAGUUGCUAUAUUUAUAGGGACCAAAAACAUAUUUAACCCUAAAUUUAAUAGUAAAAUAUAUUGAUCCGAUAAUAAAAACUAAUUUAUGUAUGUUGUAAAAUUUGUUUCAUUUAUAUACAGUAGGAUUGACAUAUCAUUUGCUAGAGUAAUGUUUCUUGGACACCUUAUAUAUGUAUGGCACACUUAUUUUACACUAAAAAAUAAAAUAUUUAAUAUAUAAAAACUGUUUUUUUUUCCUUCGAAAUGAUAAAAAUUGUUUAUUUUUUAUAAUAAUAUCACUUAUGGUGGAAGACGGCCGAAAACAUGCCAUAACAUAGAGCUCCAUCGACCAUCGAAACUUCACCAUCGAUCAUCGUUGAGUCACUAAAGCUCUUCCACCGACCACCUUGGAUCGUUAGAACUCCACACCAUCGGCCAGCCACCAUCAAUAUUGAGGUGUCAAACAAGUGUCCCUAUAUAUGAACCGUUUACAAAGGAAGAAACAUAACAAUGUAAAGGGUUAGAAAAUGCUUUGGAAGAGAAGAUAACAAAAACAAAACAUAGAGGAAGAAAGCAGAGUAUCUGAAAGAGAUGAGCACAUGAUCUGCGACGACAACAGAGGAAGAGAUGAAGAGCUCGUGUGAGAAGAUAAAGAGUUUGAAAAAUUUAGGGUGUAUAUUAAAACAAAAAGUUGAAAUAUUUAUAGAGACUAAAAACAUAUUUAAUCAACAAAAGUUUAUAAAGAGUUGCAUUGCACCCUUCAUCUUACAAACCGAUUUUAUGUGGUUGAGUUGCACUCAAUAUAAAAACCUAAUAUGGUAAUCGUUUGGGACCAUCUAUCAUUUAUAUCCACGCAUCAAACUCAAUAAUGUCAGGUGUGAUUUUAUAUUUUAUAAAGAGCGACUUCCAUCACCAUACAUAUCAGUUUUGUAAGAAUGCCGACUGAACAUAAAAACCUAAUAUCUAGUUACAUAUUUCAUUAAAAUAACACAUUUUGCACAUAUCACACAUCCAUUAUUUAUCCAAAAAAAAAAUCACACAUCCAUUAUACUUUUGCGCUUAAACCAUUAUAUUUUACAACUAAAUUAUAUAUUUUAUCUGUCUCAUUAUAAAUGUAUUAUUCGUUUUUUAUGUCUCAAAACUUUAAAAUAUCAAUAAACAAUUGAUUUACUUUUUAUUAGCCUAAAAAAAGUAAAAUUAAUAAGCUUUUGUAAUAAUGAAAUUCUCUUUUAUCAUUAAAAUUAACCCAACUAAUUAUUUACUUAAAAGUCGCGCCCAAAUCAAAACUCUUAUACUGGGAUAUCUUCAUCUUUGUUUUGGCCUAAAAUUUGGAGCAGCAAAUACUUCAUUUUAUGUUUUAUUUAAAUGGACAUAUUGGAUAAAUUACAGGCCGUGAAAUAUCAUGUCACAUACUUUUAUUUUCUUACAUACACCAUAUUAGUCAUUCAAAGUUCGUAUGAAUCUGCAAAAUCUAGUUUAAUUGUCAAUGUUGAUAUUGUUGGACUAGACAUAAUCAUUCGGAUUCUAAUAUGAUAUCUCAUAGUUGUGUUGUAUAUGAAUUUAUUUAUGUUGAUGUUUUUCAAUUUGUGUACAAAAAAGAAAAUGGAGGAGUUCUUUAGAAUAGUAAGAUAGGUUUAUAUAUAUGAAAGUAGCAUGUGAUUUUUUUUACUAUAUAGUACUUUUUUUAACUAUACAAUACUUGUAAGUUAAGGAAUCAAUCAUGCAAAUUAAAAUUAUAAUAUGAAUAUGUAAUUUAUAAUGAUUGUGUAUAAAUCAAUUAACAGAGAAAGCAGAAGACUUGUCAAAAAAAAAAAAAAGAGAGAGAAAGCAGAAGAUAUAAUAUGAAUAUGUAAGUUAUAAUGAUCGUAUAUAAAUCAAUUAACAGAGUGAAAGCACAAGAUAUGGACCUAAGAUCCUAUGGAAAAAUAAAAUAAAAAAAGAAAAAGAAGAAGAGACGAUUUAAUUUGAUAGCUAUACCAGCCCCAAAAGCAUAACAAAAUAUUAUAUUUUAAAACAUAAAUUGAGUAUCCAUUAUUACCAUUAUGCAACACUUUUAGUUUUCCUCAUGUCGCCUAGCGGGUAGAAAACUUGGAACAUAAUUGAUUUUUUGUUUUUGAAGGAUUGGAACAUAAUUGAUGAGGAGCUACAAGAUAACCUUUUCACUAAAAAAAUUCAAAAAGAAAAGAGAGAGAGCUCCAUUACACGUGAAAAAGAAAAAGUGGAUCCGGAUAUUCGUAAGACAAAUAGAUUAAAAAAUAAUUCCUGGCAAAAAAUAAAAUUUACUCAAAGAUAACUAUAUUUUAAAAAAUAAUGCUGUGUCAAAUAAUUGGAUUUUGGAAUAUUAUCAUAUCUUAAAUAAAGUUUAUAGAACGAUUCAUCAUUGAUCAUGUUUAAACUCGAUUACUUGGUUGAAGAUACAUUCCUUUAACAGUAGGGUAACAAAAGUAUUAAAUAUGACCCCUAAAAAAACAUAUAUUAAAUAUCAACCUAGUUACCGACAGAGAAAGAAAGGAUUACAUGCAACGACGUGCUCAUAAAGGAUCCAACGGCCACAAUUUGAUUAGAUAUUGUUGUCAAAAAUGUGACCAAGUAACUACGUGGUACAUGCACGUCACAAAUGGUAACAAAUGCAAAAGUCAAAGUAGAUUCACAUCAAUCAAUUCCACAAUACGUGUCCUUUGUGUUUGGUUUGUAGUUUUCUGUGAAGGUUCCCAGUUUGAAUGAAUACUUGCAAACAAAGUCCAAAAAUAUUGAUAGGGAAACCAUAGAAAGGUUAUCGAAAUUGAAUUUUAAUAUGUAAUAAUACGUACAAAUUUGUGUUUUAAGAUGUUACAAAUGAACGAAGAAACAGAAUAUGAUGCUACCAUUCACAUGCAUCAUGUGUUUUUCGUGCUUUUUUCCUUCGCACUAUAUAACAACAUUCCUCAAAAUGAAUCAACUCGUUUGUUCAAAUUUUGAAAAAUUCGUGAAUGAGACUACGUUGAUUCGGAUAGCUUGGAUUAUUGAGGACUGUUAUAUAAAACGAAAAAUGCCUCAUGAAUUAAUCUUUAGAGCCAAUCAAAUUUGCUUCCGGGCGGAAAACACGGGGGGUGGGAUGUUAAGUUGUGUUGAUAUAUUUUUCAACGUCAUGUGAUAUACAUCUUUGGGAUGAUUUCGCUUUCCCUUUCUAGCUAUACAUAUCAUUUCCCUUGCUGAUAAAUUUGAGUAGAUUUGUUUCGUUUGGCAUUUAGUAAUUUUGAGAUUAUGACAAACAUUUUUGAAAGUACAAGUAAAAAAAUGCUAUUUUUUUUUUCAAUACUAUCGUAGAAAGAUUAAACUUUAGAAGAAAUUACACUUGUAUUUUUGGAUAGUUUUAAAUCUUUAAGAAGUUAGAAUUUUGUUAAAAAAUUUAGCUUGAUAACCUUAGAAGUAUGGAUUCGUGAUGACUUUUGUAAUAUUACUUUUUUUUGUUUUGUUGCAACGUUAGAUUUUUGAAGUUUUAACAAAAAUAACAAUCAAAGUAACAUUGUCAUUGUGAUAUCGUCAAUUAUACACUAAUUUGAUAUUGAUCCAUCAUCUGAUAUGAAGACGUACAUGCAUGAUGUGUCAAAAUAAUUUUUAUGUCAAAAUAGCUUUGGUAGUUUCAAAAUCAAGAUCAUUAGUUAAACUUGAAUAAUCUCUCCCAUCCAAAUGUUUUUGGAUCUGAUUUUGUUGGAACACUCAACCUCAAAGAUCAUUUAAUUUUCGAGGUAUUUGUUUGCAUGCUAAUUUUUAGUGAAAAAGAUUGAUGGACACCCAAUGCAUCUCUCUCUCUGGUUGAAAAUGUAUGACACGUCUAUGGAAUUGGUGGAUGAAAUGUUUAAAUAUCACCAUCCUAAUUUUUUAGAAGGAUUCGAGAUUUAAUGUUUACAACUGUGUUUGAAAAUUUUGGGGUCUUAGGGUGCGUUUGUUUUGCUAAAAAAUGAAAGACAAGACAGAACAACUCUAAUUGUCCAGUGUUUAAUUUGUAAAACUGUUUCAGGUACAUGACAACUUGGAGGCAAGGGACAGGACCAAAACUCAUAUUUUUGUCCCUCACCAAACCACAUCACAACUUUUUGUCCCACGUACAAGUUGUCUAAAAUAGCAAAAUAGUUUUUAUUCCUCAAAAAUCGUAUAAAACAAAAAAUUACUCAAUGCCAUAAAAAAUUUGUCAUGUGUUGUUCUACCUUGUGUUGUAUUGUUCUAUCUUCUACUGUUCUGUCUAGUACUUGCUGUUUUGCAAACCAAACACAUCCUUAGAGUUUUGACAAGAUAAAUUAAUUACUCAAUAAAUCUAAAAAAAUCAAAUAUUUUUUAUAAAUAGGACCGGAAGGAAUACUUAAUUGUAUGCAAUGCCUCCCAUGUUUUUCGGUAAUGACCAAAUUCAAUUAGCUAAGCACUUUUCGGGAUGAUUUCUCCCGCGAGCAAUAGCAUUGCUAAAAAAAAUAUACAUACAUAAACUAUCAGUUUCAUACUAUUAAUCUUCUGAUUUGUUUUAGCCACAAUUUUAUAAUCAAGCAUUCUUAACAUUUCAUUCUUAGUAAAUAAAAUCUUUAAUUUACUAAAUCUGUUGAUGAUCUUAGAUAGAUUUGGAGAAAAUAUUAAAAAGUUAAACUAUAUUUGUAUGUAAAGGAGUAAAUAAUAGUUUUAUCAAUGUAAAAAAAUUAGUAAAUACGAUUUAUUGGGUCAAUUAGCUUAAUUGCAAGAAUCACAUCCUUUUUUAGUGUUCCUUUCUUUUGAGAUAUAUCAGGAAUUACUUAUAUAUGAAUAGAAGGCAAACGAACAAUAAGAUGCGUCGAUAGAUCUUUUUGAAUGACACAUACCUUAAACGCAAAGAAGUGAGAAAUCACAUACAUCGAAUAAUUCUACAACUAUCAAUUAAGUUGUGCGCACCAUUAAUUGAUGAUUACACUUCAAUCAACCUUUGGAAAGUUGUUACAAUGUUAAUUGAUGAUUACACUACAAUGACACACUUUUAAAAAAAUUGUGGUACACGGUUAAUUGAUGAUUCCAUUACGAGGAGACUUUUACAAAAGAGGAAUGUUAGCAACACUCUCUUUUGAACACUCUCUCUAGCACUCACUCUUUUCUUGAGUGAAAUUAAUGUAUGUCCCACCACUUUAUGUGAGUUGUAUUUCCAAAGUGUAGGUCCUACAUUAAUUUUAAUAAAAAAAUGUUUUACGGAAAAUGCUAAUCCUUCGAGGGGAUGGGAUUGAAUGAGAAUUUUAAAGGGGUAACUUUUGCAUAUAUUUGUUAAUUUUUUUAAGUGUCUUAUACUUAUAUUUUGAGUACUGCUAUAUUGUAUGAGAUUUAUCAACGAAAUUCAUGGAAUGCACACUUGUCCAAUUUUUAAGGAAUAAAAAGAGGGUUAUGAAGUUGUUUAACAUAAAUCAUGGAGUAGUGACCAAUUAUUCCGAUCCAUAAGCAUUUUCAUUAUCAUUUUACGGAUUACAUAGGAUUGUUAGCUUUGUGAAUUUGGAAUAAACUGCAUUCGUCAUUUUUCAUUGUGUGUCUCUCUCGUACCAUCAAGCAUUAUCAUUUUUUAGAUGAGUGUUUUUUUUUU
rnacentral:lncRNA from 1 species